UUCUUGACAAGUGUGGGCACUGUGUAUUUCGCAACAAACUUUACAAAGAAAAAUGAUUUCAUAUAUAACACAUGCUCAUGAUAAUGCAAUCCAUGUACAUGUACGAACAAACCCCACAACAAAUAAAAUGAUCUCUUUCGAUACAAAAAAAAAUGAAAAACUCAACUAAAAGUCUCCAAUUCUGAAUGCAAGUACUGACAGGGACACACACACACACAUCCCUUGUUCUUCUUAACCCAAGCUCUGUAGCGUUUGGAAUACCAUUGGCACUAUCACCUGGAGGGUGCAGACUUGGAAUUUAUCACUUUCUAUUCAAAAUAAAGAACUUUCUCCUCCAGAUUCUUCAUCGUCUAUUCUUCCUAUAGUUGCACACUCAUGUUUAGAGUAAUUAGAAAUCAGGUAAUCAAAUAAGGGACUGGAUAAGAAGAAAAAUAAAAUCUGAUAACAGAUCUGAAGCCAAAACCAAUUAGCGGAUUACUGUAGGAUAAAAAUGCAUAAUCUGAGAAAUGAGGGAAGAGUAAAGAAAAUGCACACUUGCCAAGCAUUGCUUGAGAGAAUGAAAGUGUGACAUAAUGAGGUGCAUCACAUGUUAAACCUAUUCGCAUAAAAAUGCAUAAUCUGAGAAAUGAGGGAAGAGUACAGAAAAUGCACACCUGCCAAGCAUUGCUUGAGAGAAUGAAAGUGUGACACAAUGAGGUACAUCACAUGUUAAACCUAUUCGCCAUCAUGGCAUCACUGCAUCUGCAAAUGCUCGCAAAAAAUAAAUUUGAAGAACAUGUUGUUUAGUCCACGGAUCCAUAAGAUUUGUCACUUCUUGUUCAGAAAGAGUUCUGUAAUUUAAGCGUUACAUGGGAUCCUUUUAAGUCCAAGAGAAUCAGAGGAAUCUUAUAUUGUUGAUUUAUAUUCACGAAAUGCAGGUAGUCAGUAUGACUUGUAUUGUAUUUAUCUCAGUUGAAAAUAUGUUGUAUUUAUAUCAGUUGAGAAUUAAAGUAUCUCAGCUUUGCUUAGCUCCGUGACCUGUCAUGAACAAACUGGACAGUGAUUAACAACCUAGCAAAGAAGAUACAGGAUGACUUUCCAACUCCAAAUAGAUCAAGAAAAGUAGAGACUUACAAAGCUUUAAAUGCAGGCCUGAGAGCAGCCAUUUCGCAUAUACAACAUACUGAAACAAAACAAAUAUAAAUGUUGAAUUGCAAGUUCUCUAUCUAGGUUCAGAAAAGUGAUUUCGCAUACAUACCUAGAGACUAAAUGUCAGAUUUGCUACCAUAUGGCAUAUCAGCAAGACGUUUUGAGCACAUGUAACUUGGUGUUCCUCCCACCUGGUGUUGAGGUCAAAACACCAUCGAACAUGUACAAGAAAGAGAACAAAUGUUUUACUUCCUUCAUUUCACAAAGGUUGGCGUAUUUUGUUUCGUCAAGACAAGGCUUUGACCAAUGAAAACUCUAUUGAUAUGUAUUUUUUUCAUAUAUGAAAUUUAUAUCAAUGGAUUCGUUUUAAAAAGUUCUUGCUAAUGAUUAGGGUUUCGUAUCAUAUAACUUACAUGUUAAUACAGUAAUUCUUAGUGAAAGGCUUGUCUUAACGAAACGAAAUACACCAACCUUUGUGAAAUGGAGGGAGUAGUACUCACGGAAGAUGCCAGAUCAUCAGAACUCAAUAUUUUUUGCAAGCCUAAAGUCACCAGCAUUUUUUAUGUUAGAAUUGCAAUCAUUAUCAGGAUUGCUGAACUCAUACAUAAAGCACUGUACUUUGUAAGGGACUAAGUUACAUACCAAGUCCUAUAGUUUGGCUCCUGGAAAUAAAAAUAUUGGAGCACUGAAACGAAUUAGCAGCUUCGGUGCACAUUAUUACAACAUGUUAGAAAGAUAAUCACAUGCUCCAAAUAUCGCACUGGUACUGACCUUCACAUCUCGAUGAAGAAUGUGAUUUCCAUGCAAGUAAUCAAGAGCCAUAAGGAGCUGUACAAGCCACCUGCCAUGUUUCUGCAAAAUCAGAAAACAGGCGUCUUUCUCAGCAGUACAAGCGUUAUUUUAUUUUAUUUCACAAAUAUAUUCCGUCGUCCUGAAAAACGAAGUACCAGCUUCCCUUUUCCUGAAAAAGCAACAGAUGUCAAUUGACUAAUUAAACUAAUACAUAAAUCCAUCUCAUCUCUAAUGGAAUAGAUCAGCAGCAAGCCAAAUGAUGGAAACAUGCUUCUAUAGUAUUUAUUCCAUCUUGAAACUGUAGAACACACAUGGAAAAGAAAUCAUUGCACUUACGCAAAUAAAAAACUACAACAGGAAGUGGUCUGAUCAACAUACAUUUCUCUAAAACUACAUUUAAAUGGGUGUGAAACAGUAAUGUGGUACAAACCUAAGGCAUUCAAAUAAAAAACUACAACAUGAAGUAGUAUUUAAAUUUGUAACAUAACUUGAAGAACAAACCUGCACACUACAUACCAACCAUGGAGAAAUUAAAGCAUGGAUUUGUUGGCAGUUGAAAUCUAGAAUGCUUGUAAACAGCCGGAAUAUCAAUUGGCAUUUCAGCAAACACGUGGUGGGUCUGUGAGCAAUUGAUGUGUUGAGAAAUGUCUUACCUGAAAUAUAGAAUGCUUGUGGACAACGAUCAAACAACGAUGCACCCAACGUGAAGACGACCAUGGUUGAUGCGUAGCUUCCCUGGCCGGGCACGCACUGCCCUGGGCAGGUGCGGAGACUCCCCUGUCCAUCAAGAUCAGGUGGCAGGGGAGAAGUGGAUAGCGGCGGCGUGCAGCAGAUCAGGUGGCAUGGUUGUGAUCGGAAUUUCUGGUCACGUGUGGGGGGAUCAGCGGCGGCGGCGGUGCCUCAUCGCGUGGCUCUAACGACGGCCACGGAUCGCAGGUGGAGGCGAGCGGAUGAGGCGGGCUGACGCGCGACAGAGGAGGGCCGCGGCCGGAGGGGAGGAGGCGGCAGCGCCUCGUCCCGUGGCCCUGACGGCGGCCGUGGAUCGUAGGUGGAGGCGAGCGGGCGAGGCGGGCUGAGGUGCGGCAGAGGAGGGCCGUGGAGGGGAGGAGGCGGCGGCGACCUCAGGGAAAGGGAAGGAGGACGGGGGGGUGGAGGGGAGUGAGGCUGCGGCUGCCGCAGGGGAAGGGAAGGAGGAGGCGGCAUUGGAGGCUGGAUGGGCGAGGAGAAAAGAAGGAAGAAAAUGGUUCGAAUGAGGGGGUGAAAGAUUCUCCUGCGGGGUGGAAUUUCAGCCUCAACAGGUAAUCACUAAACACACACGGUUAGGUAGUAAUCUGGUGUUUAGAGAGUCUGAUUGUGGAGCUAUUAAUACUUUGUGUUCGUUUAGUGGGGUGGACGUUGGAAAGAACAUGUUGGUGCCUUUAUAAGUAGUAGAGAUAUUUCGGUUGAACAAAUAGCACAAACUGAAAAUUUGGAGAGCCGGUUUCAACUACCACCAUCUGUCCUGCCAUAUGAACAAUUUAUCCAACUGAUAGAACUUGCCACCAAUAUGCAGCUUACAAAUGAGCAUGAUCAUUGGUCCUACACUUGGAAUAAGAAUGGUUAUCUACCCAUUGAGGGAUACAAGGCCCAAAUUUCACAUCUGGAGCUGCCACCUCACUUCAAUUGGCUCUGGUCUUCGUGCUACAAACUUAAGCACAAGACUUUCUUCUGGCUAUUGCUCAUUGAUAGGCUCAACACUAGAGCAAUGCUUCAUAAAAAGAAUUUUCAUAUGCCAGUAUAUGAUUGUGUUCAUUGUGAUGGAUGUCGUCUGAAAACCAGAGAUCACCCCGUCUUCAAUGUCCAUUCGCCAUAAUUUGCUAGAAUUACAUCUGCCCCAACUUCACUCUCUUGCAAAAUGUGCACAUAAAUAUUGAUCUCCUCAAAAGUGAACUGAAAGUUCCAUUCUUCAUGGAAAUCAUCACACUGGUCACGUGGGGCAUCUGGAAAUCCAUGAAUAAUUUCAUCUUGAACCAAAGGAGGCCAAAUCUCUAUAGAUGCAGGCAGAUAUUCAACGGAGAGCUAAACCUCGUCUUCCACAGGGCGAAAAGAAAGACCUAUUAUGGAUUUGCUGAUUGGAUAAAAUCUUUUAGAUAGUCUUUUUUGUAAUCUGGCACUCUUGCUGAUAGGAUAGGAUAAAGGUGGCCUAUCUUUUGAUGAGGAGAUAGCUAUCCAUUUGGGUGGAGGUCGAUGUUGGCGAACCGACUACAAACGUGCGAGACGUUGCGCCUUAGCGAUCACUACACCAACUUCCGAGGUUAUUGACCGCGCCGAAGCCAGAUCAACCUGAUCCCGAAGGAUCAAUCCCGGCAAGCAACCAAAGAACCAACAAGAACAAUAGAUGCAAUCAAGAUAUUGCGAAUAAAGAUGAAGCUUUAUAUGUGGGAUUCUGCAAGUGCGUAGUACAGGAGGUCGAUUUGACUUUCGUGCCUAUGGCGAAGAUUAGCAAUGGCUGAGUCUUAAAAUAACUAAAAUCCGAGUCUAAACGAUGACCUAAAAGGGGUUUAUAUAGAGGGGUAUGGUGCCAGCCUUUGGAAGUGGGCCGAACCCUCUAUAGGUCGGUUUACAUGGGCCUGGUCCAACUCUCAUUAUGGGCUUUACUAGCUCUAGCAAGAUCAUCUUUUAAAAUACUUUCAGGAGACAUAGGAAGUAACACAAUUGGCUUAUCAUUGUGAACAAGAGAGUACUGAUUGGUGGUACCAUAGUGUACCGAAUUUGUGUCAAAUUGCCAUGGUCUACCAAGUAAAAGAGCACAUGCUUGCAUAGGAACAACAUCAUACUCAACAUAAUCAGCAUAUGCAGCAAUAGUAAAAUGCACACGAACGGUACAUGUUACCUUAACUUUGCCGCUGUUGUAAACCAUUGAAUAUGAUACGGUCAAGGAUGGGGUCGUGCCUUGAGAGAAAGCUUCUCUACCAUCUCCAUGCUUGUCAGAUUGUUGCAGCAAUAAUAAUACGAACACAUCGGUCUUUGACCACACCUUUGGUAUGAAACAGAUUAUGGCGCUGAUUUGGUUCAGCCUUGGUCACUUGUGCACUCAAAACUCGCUGGGCAAUUAAGCUCGGGUACUUCUUCGCUUCUUCUGCAGCCAUGAAGUGGGACUCGUGGUCCUGGGUUGCUGCAGCACAUUGCUCCUCAUGUGCAAUAAGUGCUAAAGUGUCCUCAUCAAAAUCACUGACGGAAUCGUAACCACCAUCCUCAAGAGCAAUCAUGACACGAGCGGAGGGGCAUUCACGUGCAAUGUGACCAAGCCCGCUGCAUUUGCGGCAUUUAAUCUGGCUGGAUUUGCCCGUAGAAGCCAUGGAGGACGAAGAACUUGGGGCUGGUCCAGCGGGAGUACGCUUCUGUGCAAAUGGAGUUGAUGUAGGCGCUGCUGAGCGUGUGGGUGUGGGCGUAGAAGUGGACGGUGCAGCAGCCCGUGACGACGAAGGCGAUGGUUUCCAAGAAGAAGAACGCCCUGCAGAAAAAUUAGUUCGUGUCGCCUCUCGCCGAUCCUGCACUUCACAUUCAACAUUGCACGCAAGAUGGAACAAACGGGUUAUAGUAUGGUAUGACUUAUAUCGAAGAAUAGUUUGAAUUUCCUUAUUUAACCCACCAAAGAAACGUGCGAGCAAAGCUUCAUUAUCUUCCACUAUACCACAACGCAUCAUACCAGUUUGUAAUUCUUGAUAGUACUCCUCUACAGAACUUUUACCUUGAUCUAAACGUGUUAACUUGUUGAGCAAAGUACGUUGGUAAGAUGGUGGCACAAAACGAGUUCGCAUGGCCCGUUUCAAAGCAUCCCAAGUAGUGAUUGGAUUAGCAGCAUUAAGACGACAAUAUUCAGUCCACCAUAUGGAAGCAAAACUAGUGAACUCACAAGUAGCAGCACUAACACAUUUAUCCUCGGGAUAAUUUAAACAUGUAAAACGUUGUUGUACUUCUAAUUCCCAAGAAAGGUAUGCAUCAGGAUUAUAUCGACCAUCAAACAUGGGUAUAUUCAAUUUCAGUUUUGCAACAUGGUCAUCAUCACGUACCAGCGGGUGUGCGUUGCGAACGUAGGGGCGUGGACGGCCACGCGGUUGGUGUAGAACCUCCUCCUCGUUCUCGCGUUCGCCCUCGGAGUCGUCCGCCCCGUAAUACUCAUCAAGCUGCUCAUCGUGGAACAUGUCGGCCGUAGUCGAGGAUUGGCCUUGGUGAAGGGGAACACUCUGUGCCCGCCCAGCGAACGCUUGCUGAUGUGGAUCCCGAGUUGUGGUUGGCUGCGGUAAAUGCGCCAUCAGCUCCCGGAAUUUGGCGUCGAGCUGGGUGGUGAAAGAUGCCUCGAGGCCCUCGACCCGUUCCAUCAUAUCAUUAAAACGUUUGUCAACAUCCUGCAUGUGGUCGCCCAUGAGCUUGGUGAAGUUAGCUUGCAGUUCGGCGCUAGUGGGUUCCUUGGCAUCGUCCACACCUAUCAUGAUUAGUACUCAAAAGCACAGCUAGCUAUAUGGGUGUAUAUGCUCCAGGCAAGUGGUGGAACACGCGUAAUCCUUCAAGCAAACUAAAAUUCUUACCCGUUCUUACCCUGCAGAAGGUGGUGACUAGCAACCGUUGUGGUUAAAUCUCAGGAAGAUUGAGUAGAGCGAUUGCCAGGCGGUGUCAACGCACGGUGUAGGAAUAUGUGGAGCUCUGGGUGCCUGUAAUAUCUGUAGCAACAAUUCAAAACAGCAAUGCCACAAGUUGAAAAAUAGUUCAAUGACGGUACCGUGCUGGUCCUAAGAUAAACCGGCUAGAGACGCGAGCCUAGAACACCUACGAGUCACACCGCAGCACCAAAAACAACAGGUAUAUGAUUGUGUUCUGGCUCUUGCUCAUUGAUAGGCUCAGCACUAGAGCAAUGCUUCAUAAAAAGAAUUUUCAUAUGCCAGUAUAUGAUUGUGUUCAUUGUGAUGGAUGCCCUCUGGAAACCAGAGAUCACCCCGUCUUCAAUGUCCUUUUGCCAUAAUUUGCUGGAAUUACAUCUGCCCCAACUUCACUCUCUUGCAAAAUGUGCACAUAAAUAUUGAUCUCCUCAAAAGUUAACUGAAAGUUCCAUUCUUCAUGGAAAUCAUCACACUGGUCACGUGGGGCAUCUGGAAAUCCAUGAAUAAUUUCAUCUUUAACCAAAGGAGGCCAAAUCUCUAUAGAUGCAGGCAGAUAUUCAACGAAGAGCUAAACCUCGUCUUCCACAGGGCGAAAAGAAAGAGCUAUUAUGGAUUUGCUGAUUGGAUAGAAUCUUUUAGAUAGUCUUUUUUGUAAUCUGGCUCUCUUGCUGAUAGGGUAAAGGUGGCCCUAUCUUUCGAUGAGGAGAUAGCUAUCGAUUUGGGUGGAGGUCGACGUUGGCGAGCCGACUACAAAUGUGCGAGACGUUGCGCCUUAGCGAUCGCUACACCAACUUCCGAGGUUAUUGACCACGCUGGAGCCAGAUCAACCUGAUCCCAAAGGAUCAAUUCCUGCAACCAACCAAAGAACCAACAAGAACAAUAGAUGCAAUCAAGAUAUUGCGAAUAAAGAUGAAGCUUUAUAUGUGGGAUUCUGCAAGUGCAUAGUACAGGAGGUCGAUUUGACUCUCGUGCCUAUGGUGAAGAUUAGCAAUGGCUAAGUCUUAAACUAAACAAAAUCCGAGUCUAAACGAUGACCUAGAAGGGGUUUAUAUAGAGGGGUAUGCGGCCAGCCUUUGGAAGUGGGCCGAACCCUCUAUAGGUCGGUUUACAUGGGCCUGGCCCAACUUGGGGUGACGCAGCACCAUAUCUUCACGUGGACGUAAAUAGGAAUUGGAAACUCUAUAUGUCGCCCACAUCUUCAUCUCUCCUUAUGGUAGCUUCAAAGUUCUGAAAUCUCCCGUUGCGGCAUCAUCUUGAAUCCUCGUACGCUUGCCACCAUCUUCUCCAUGCGUGAUCAUGCUCCAGUGCUUGUCCCUCUCAUCCAUGCUAGGUCCAUCAUUCCUAAGUGUAACAAACACAUCUGAUUUAGGCAGCAUCAUAUGCUCAUGUAUGGAAGGAAUCGUUCCAAGAAACGAAAGUACCUGAUAGUUAAGUUGGCGUGCACGAGCUCUUGUGAGAUGUCCUUGUAUUGUAGCUGUAGGUGCAGCGGUUGUAUCAACAUGGGGGAUGUCCUCAUCACUUGCCCCUUUGAAAUUUUGUACAGUUGACACCAUUUAAUAUAUGUCUGUAGGCAGUUUGCCUACAGUCUUUUGCCCUCAAAAAAGUUGAGAAAUGGGAGCAUUUUAGUCCAAGAUGUUGCAAAAUAGGAAAAUUAGUCCUAAAAGUUGAGGCGCGGGCGUAUUUUAGUCCAAUUGGUCCGAACUGGACACGUGGCAGCGACAUGGGAGUCCCAUCAGGCCCGUGGAAAUUUCGCAAAAGGCCCCUCGGACUGGAACAAUUUGGACAUAGGUCCCCGGUACACGCCGAGAGUCCAGUGGGCUGCUCGGUUUCAUUCGACUGGGACCGCACUGCCGUCCAGCGUCGUCCACCUCGCCAGUGCCGCCAUCUCCUCUGAGGACAGCCUCCUCCAGGGCCUCCUCUUCUCCGAAGUCGAUGUUGUUCGCUGAUGGCGCCAUCUUCUGGAACUUUCUUAAUGCCUGGGCCGAGGUCGCGUGCACCGGCCGGCGCUUCCGGUGGAACUUCGCCAACCUCGUCUACGGCGUGAGCGCUGAGGCGGUGCGCGCGCCGAAUCUGCUGGCCACGUCUCAGGAGGUCAGCAAGGCGUUUAAAAAAACACAAAUUGUCUGGGCGAACUAAAUAGGAUACAUGUCAACGCCUGAUUGGUUUAAUUGGAGCUCUAAGCAAUCCGCAUCUCAACUUUUAGGACUAGUUUUCUUCAUUUUGCAACUUCUUGGACUAAAUUGCUCCUACCUCAAGUUUUCAGGCAAUGGUGCUAUUAGCUCUUGUAACAUCCCAAAAUUUCAAACCUUUACAUGUGCAUUGCAUCCAUGAGCAUCCUGACACAAUUGCAUGUUUGAAUUCAAAUUUUGAAUCACAAAAGACUUUAAGAGAUUUUGUUUACAUCCCUGUAACCUUUGGAUUUUCAAACCAAUAGGGUUGAGGUAUAAAAAGGGUUUUAAUGCAUAUAUAAGCUAUCCCAUAAUUUUUGGUUAACUAAUUGGAGUUGAAAAAGUAUUUUAUUCAAACAGAUAUAUAGCCCUAAAGUCAUUUAUAGGGCAAAUGUAUUUUUAUAUAUUUUAUUUUGAAGAGAAACUACUUCCAAAAGUUGUAUCAUGGUAGAACAUGAUUUUACAAAUUUUCGGGAAUUUAUUUGGACCAAUUUGGAGUUCAAACACAAAAGAUAUCAAAGAAAUGAGAAAAACAGAAAAAGAAAAGGCCUAAAAGAAAAAAAAAAGGGUAAACCGGACCGGCCCGGCCAAAAUGGGCCGAACCGGCCCAGUCCGACCGCGCCCGACCGGUCCAGGCCGCCCGGUCCGCGCGCGCGCCCGCAGUCGCUGACAGGUGGGGUCCACCUGUCAGCUGCGUCUUCCCCGAAGGAAAGCGCCGCCGGUCACGCGCGCAAAUUCCGGCCGCCGUCCCCGCGCGCCCGCCGUCGCAAUCCGCUCCUCCGGCCUUCCAUUUUCAUGCCCGAGCACUCCUUUAUAACCCCCGCGACCUCCUCUCUCUUUCCCCCAUGUUUCCUCAUCCGAUCGCGCCGCCGGGCUGCCCCGAUUUCUCGCCGGAACCGACCGCGCCGCCGCCCAUCUUCGUCCUCGGCGCCGUCCCCGACCGCGCCCCGUCUCCGCCGUGCCGCGCCGCGCCUCCCCGUGCCUUCACCGUCGCGCCCACGUCGCCGGAGCGUCCCCGCGCCGCCGCGCCCGUGCCCGCGCCGCCGUCCGCCGACCGCACCGCCCGCUCGUCCCGUCCUAGGCGCCGACCCGCGCUGCCCGAGCCCGCGCCGACCGCGUCCCCGAGCUCGCCGUGCCGCGCCGCUCCGUCCCCGCGCCACCCCGUCACGCCAGCCCCGCCGGAGACCCCACCGCCGUCCCCGCCCGCGGCGCCGCCGCCGGAGUUUCCUCGCCGGAACCCUAGGUGAGCCCGAGAGUCCCCGUCCGUCCGAUCGUGAUCAACGGUCCAGAUUAGAUCCCGAUUUUUUAUUUUUUUUCAUUUAACCGAACCGGUAUGCACCAAUGAGAUUGCGACACGUGGCACCCGGUUUUAUAAAAUAAAAUGUAAUUUUAAUCCCCCGGAAAUAAUAAAAGGCAUUUUUGCAGAUAGGCCCCUGUAACUUCAAAUGAUCAUAACUUUAAAUCUGUUUGGCCAAAUUUAAUGAUCCACACCUUUUUGGAAUCCUUAGAAAGUGUAGGAUUUUAUUAGUUGCAUUGUCAGGAUUUUUAUUGUAUCUAUGCUAGCUAUGAUCUGUCCUAGUAGUAUAGGAUGCCUUUGCCAUGACUUCACCAUCAAUUGCCAUCGUAGUAGUAAGAGGCUAUGCUAUGAUAAUAUACGAGGGUGGUAUUGUUACAAUGUGAUACUGUUGAAUUACAAUAUGAUUUUCCUAGUGUAUGGCAAAACAAGUAAUUCAAUGAACCGUCCUGAGUGGGCUGCUUUGAGUUUUCGGAUGUCGUGACGUUAGGUCCAUUUCUAUGGGGCUCGCUGAGUCGUCUCUCCGUGUGAUUCGGGAGCGUCCAUGGUCGUCUCCCCGUGCGAUUCGGGGAGCGCCUGCGUCACAAUGUGGGAUGCCAUCCGGGGUAACCAGAGACUGGACUAGUUUCCUGUUUAGUAGCUUCCAGUACAACCACAUGGUAUUAUGGGCUCUGCCAGGAUGGAUGUAAGAAAUAUGAACCCGGAUCCGAGGUGACAUCGGUAUGUAGCAGUGUAGGUGGGGGCGCGUCCCUCAGGUGGUUUGGGGGAAUAUGUUCUGAAAAUUCCUGUAAUCGAUGCCGUUGCUACUCCACCUGGAGGACAGCAAGGGAUUAACACGUCGAUUUCUUGUGGGUAAAGUGUACCACCUCUCGAGAGUGUCAAACUAAGUACUUAGCCGUGUCCCCGGUUACGGACAAUUAUGAGCAACUGGAUAUCGGAGCUGUAAGGAAAGUCUCACUCAUUCCAAUUUCUUAAUAAAAUGAAUGGUUUGAACUGGGUAGGAGCAUUGAUGUUUCUACUCAAUGUGCCUAGGUUAAUAGGAGCAUGGGUGUUUCUACCCCGUGUCCAAUAGAAUUCAAAACUAUUUGUCUAAAAAUGAUAGGAUUUGAAUAAUGAUGCUUUUAUGCAAAAUAGCCAAACCCCACUUAACCAAACUAUGCAUGUACUUGGUAGGUCCUUUAUAACUCUAGUGAGCUUGCCAAUACAUUCAAAUGUAUUGACCACGUAGUGGCUGCAAUUAACAAUGCAGGUGGAUCCGACGAUGAGUGAGGCUCGUCGUUUUGUCAUGGGUCAUGUGCUUACAUUCCAACAUGCUCUCUCCUCUGGGAGUAGAUGAGGCCCUUUUACUCUACUUUUCCGCUGCAGCUUAAUGAUACAUUGUUGUCAUGGUUUUGAACAUUAUUUGUUUAUGCUGGCCCAAGAGGUCAUGCAAGUUUGUAAGUACAAUUUAAGUUCUGGAUGAUACGAUGUAAUAAAGUACUUUUGACCUUUGUAUCUUGGUAUUACAUCUUGAACUGUGUGUGCUAGUGAGUCGAUCCAGGGACUAGCACAAGUAAGCACAGAGAUCGAACCCUUGUGAAGGGGGAUCGCUUCAGAUGGUAUCAGAGCAAAGUGUUGCCUGUAGGAACGUGACCCUAGUUUGGAUUAAGAUAAGACAAGACCAAAAACCAAACCUUAGGAAAUGUUCUCAUCCCUUUCUGUUCUAUAUCUAUAUACAUACAUUUUAUUCCUUAUCCCUAUUCAUCUAAAUCUUUGCAUUUAUAACUUACAUAUGCAUGACAUGUUUAUUGUUUUAUUCCACAUAUACACCGAAUAAUAUGUUUAUUACCACAUAUGCAUGCUUAAUAUAUUUUACCACAGAUGCAUAUUCGAUUUUUACACCAUACACCACUAUAAUCAUGUUGCCAUGUUGUUCACAUGUUAGUAUGCAUCCAAUUUUAUAUUUACAUUUCCACCCUUGAUAUUAAUGUUAUCACUUGAUUCCUACUCUACCACUUUUAUUUUAUUUUUACUUACAUUCGACCAUUUGAUCAUGUCACUGAUACUCCCUUGUCUCCUUCUUUAUUUUCUAUAGAUGGGAAGCCCAACACCGUUCGGCAAUGUACCGCCGUUCACCCGCGUCUACUACCCUUCCACGGACGACGACCAGCUGUUCAGUGCCCCUUUGGCGGCACUGUGUGCUUUCCUCGACCUGCCACCACCCAGGUUCAGAGGCCGAGUUGAGAUCGCCGCACCCGAGGGAUGGCAGCCACGGUGGGAGAUCGAGGCGAAGAUCCGGGGGCGUGAGAUCGCGCCAGCUACACCGGAUAUCACCUUCAUCAGCCGCUACCCCACAUUCGAGCAGGGCCUUCAGUUCGCCAUGCAGUGCGCCUUCGCACAGGUGUGCCGGGACUAUCGGCACGAGUUCCCCGAGGAUUCCUCCUUCCUCCUCUUUGGAAGGCGGAACCAUGCAUGCUCGGCGGUGGCUACGACCAACGACGAGGAUGCGACCCCAGUGACGACCCACUUCGAGAACAUGGAGAUAAACACCGUGGACUUGGAGUCUUGUCUCGAGCACGAGAUGAUCAGGGCCGACCUCGCCGAGGAGCAGGUUGGUAACCUGAUGGGAGAGAAGACCCAGUGGCUUGAGGACAAGGCCGUGUUGGAGAACACUGUCCUCAACAUGGGAGACGUCAUCGAGCAGCUACAGUAUGAGAGGGACCAGGCUCGCUACUACUGCGAGCAGUUCCAGGCGUUCAUCACAGCAGCAGCCGCAGCAGCACCAGCUGCCGCACCGGCGCCAGACCAGGUCCCACCUCCACCACAGGAUCAGGAGAUGGAGGCUCAGGAGGAGGAGCCCCAGGAGGUCCACGAGAUGGAAACCCCUGCUACAAACACCCGCUCCAAGAUGAAGGCGAACGGGACCACACCGACAGCCACACUCCCUUAGAUCUGUUGAUGCCUACCAGACUUUAUCUUGAAAAAUAAUUUGUUUUAAUAGCCUAAGGGGCCCAAAAGCCAUUUUAUAGGCAAAUGUAUUUUUAAAUAUUUUAUUUUGAGGAAAUUCUUGUUCCAAAAGUUAGAUCAUAUGAAAAUAUGAUUUUACAAAUUUUUGUUACAUUUUAUUUGGAGUGAUUUGGAGCUUCGAAUCAACUUUGAGGUUCAAAAACAGAAAAUAGAUAAAAGAAAAGGAAAAACCGAGAAAACCGGUCAAACUGGACCGAACUGGUCGGACCGGACCGGACCGGACUGAACCGGACCGGCCCGGCCCGAGCCGCCCAGACGCCCCACUGCCAGGCGGGCCCCACGCCCCCCUUUCUUCUCCAACUGCCUCCGCAGUCCAUGCCACGCACGUCCGCGAAACCACCGCACGCCUCCACUCCAAUUCCUUCGCGCUCGAGCCCCUAUCCCCGAGUCCGUUCGCGUCACUCCGAAGCCCUCGAACUCCUCUUCCACUUCCCUCAAACCCCACGUCCAUUUUCGCAUCGGUUAGGAUUUAAUUUCUCACCGAAGUUCUUCACGGACGUCGCCGUUCUUCGCGUUUUGCCGUCGUUCCGGUGAGCUUCCGCCCGCGCCGACCCUCUCCCCUUCUUCCUCUCUCCAGCGCGAAUGCCGUGACGCGCUCGGCUUCGUGUUUGGGCGCCGCCGGUCGCCGCGCCGCCGUCUUCCCCAAGGCCGGCCGCCACCCGCGAUCGCACGCUCCGCGCCCGCGCCCGUGUGCCGCCGCCGCCCGCCUACACGCCGACCGCGCCGCCUGCCCGCGCCCCCGCGCUGCCCCGCGCACGCCGCCCACCGCCCGCGCCGCUCGCCCGCGCCGCCGCGCCGCCGGCCGGAACCCUAGGUCCCGGCCUAUCCCGCGCUGCCACGUGGCGAGGUUUUAGUUUUAUUUGUUUUAUUUUAUUUCGGCCGAAUUGGAUAAUGCAAUUUUGCAGAAAAGCCCCUACAACUUCAAAACCUUAUAUCUUUUAAACUGUUUGUCCAAAAAUUGUGAUCCGCACCUUUCUGGAAUUGUCACAACGUGUAGAAUAUUUUGGCACUGUUUAAAUUCAGUUUUGAACAACUUAUACAGAAGAUAUUUACAGAAUGGUUGAUUAUGGUUUAAAUUUUAAAUGAAUUGUUUCAAAAUAGUUUUGAACAUGUUAUCUUGCUGUAAAAUUAUUUAAACUUGUUCUCUGUCCAUUAGGACUAGAAAAGAAAUUAUUUUGUGUAUAAUCAUGGCAUACAAGUUAAAUAUUGCUCUAUGUUGCAAAAGGCGCACAAUCUUUUGUUUUAAACUCUAUCCAUGUAUCAUGCAUAUUAAUUACCACUUGAUGUUGUAUAAUCUGUCCAAAUCAUUUGAAAAACUUUUCAAAACAGAAACAAAACUUGUACUUUAGAAGUAACCUUUGUGUGCAUCAUCAUGGCAUAUGCGUCAUGGCAUGGCUUUUGUAUUGAAUGUUGUGUUUAUUGUGUGUAUGUUUCUUUUAUUUUAGAUUGUGUGGAGUGUAAUUCCUUGUUCUUGUGAAGAGUGCGAGAACUAUCACAACCUUGGACAAGGCAAGUUCACUUUGAUCAUAUCCCAUUAUUAUUGUUGUUUUAAAAUACUUAUGCAUUAGUGUUGUUGGUAGAGAUGCAUUGAUAGGACUAUUACUCGUACCUCUAUGCUAGCUAUAAAUCCCAGGUAGUAUAGUUUACCCUCGCCAUUACCUUGCUACCAAAUUGCCAUCGAUUGUAGUUGAAUGCUAAGCUAUGGUAAUAUCGUGGGGGAAAUAACUACAUUAUGAUAUUGUUAUGCUUUUGGCGAUAUGAAAUGUUUUGUUAGAUGUAAGGCAAAACAAUUAAUUCAAUGAACCGUUUUGGGUGGGCUGCUUUGAAGAUUUUGAGGAUUAGCGGCGUCAUGUCCAUUUCUAUGGGUCCCUCUGAGUCGAGUUCCUGUGGAUUCAGGAAUGGAUCGUCCAUGGACGUCUCUCCCGUGGAUUCGGGGAGCGCCUACCUUGCAAAUGUGGAAUGCCACCUGGGGUAACCGAGACUGGACUAGUUUCCUAUUUAGAAGCUUCUAGUACAACCACAAUGCUAUAUGGGCUCUGGUGAGACAAGAGUAAGUUGUAUGAACCUAGAUCCGAGGAAUUGUAUUGAGGUAGCCGUGUAGGGGGAGCGUGAUUCUCUCGUGGUUUAGGGAAUUACCUCUGAAAAUCUCAUAAUCGAUGCCGUUGCUAUUCUACCUUGAGGACAGCAAGGGAUUAACACGUCGGUUUCUUGUGGGGAAUGUGUACAAACUCUCGAGAGCGUCAAAACUAAGUACUUAGCCGUGUCCCCGGCAACGGACAAUUUGAGCAACUAGAUGUGGAGCUGUAAGGAAAGUCUCACUCAUUCCAAUUUCUUAAAUAAAAUGAAUGGUUUGAAUAGGGUAGGAGCACUUGAUGAAUCCACUUCAAUGUGCUCUAGGUUAAUAGGAGCAUGGGUGUGUCUACCCCGUGUCCAAUAGUUAACAUUAUUAUAACAUUCCUUUGUAGUAGGCUAAUUUAUGUUCUGUUUCCACGCAAACAGCCUAAACUCCACCUUGCCAAAUACUGCAUAUACUUGGUAGGUUUUAUUAUAACUCCUAGUGAAUCUUGCCAAUACAUUCAAUGUAUUGACCCUAGUGGCUGCAUCGUUUAAUGAUGCAGGAAGCUCCGACGACGAGUAAGAUGUACGUUCUCCUUGUUUGGGUUACGGGCUUACAUUCCAACACGCUCUCACCGUGGUGUUGAUGUGCCCUUGUAUCUUCCGUUUUCCGCUGCUAAACAAUUGUUUUAUUUCUAGCUAACCCGUGAGGUUAUGCGAGUUGUAAGUACCCUUUUAUAUUCUGGAUGAUACGUUGUAAUAUUGAGACCUUUGUUCUAUGAUAUUACAUCUUGAAACUGUGUGUGCUAGUGAGUCGAUCCAGGGACUAGCACUAAAGCACAGAGAUCGAACCCGUAUACGGGGGCGGUCGCUUCAUCCAGCCGGCAGCAGCCCCAAGGGAGGCAAGCUGCAAGAGAGAGGGAGCCGCCUCCAUGCCGCCCAAGCGCCGAAGAACUGCCACGCGCAUGGCCAGACAGCCGCCACCGCCCGCAACCAGAGCACGCAGGCUGCCUCCGCCCGCACGCGCGCCCCCGUGCAGACCUCUGCCGCCACCAGGAUGCGCCGCCCUGACGAGGUCCGGCCGCCGCCAGGGAGCGCCACGGAAACAAGUGACGCCUCGCCGGCCGAGCAGGGCCCCGCCACCGCCACACGGGCUUUGCCUGGUGGCGCGCUCAGGCGGCGGCGAGGGAGGGGAUGACGGCGCUAGGGUUUCAAGGAGGGUCAGGCUGAGAGAGUCUCCCCCGGCGCUUUUGUGUGAUUCAUGGAAGGCAACAAGGAAACUUAGUUCGUAAAAAUAAGGGGAAACUUAGCUUCUAAGUAGAUGUUGCGCAUUUAUUUGUUUGACUCCAAUAUCUCAAGGAAAGAAAUGCUGUUUUUUAUUCAUAGAAUUGACACUGUACGUGGAACCACACAUUUUUAUAGUUUUUUAAGUAAUAAGCAACUGAUGUAUUCAGUUGUCGAAAAAACACUAUUGCAUUCAUUUAGCAUGCGGGUCAACGCUUAUGGUCAUCCAGUUGCAUUUUGCCAUUUUCCCUUUGUUACAGAGCUUUUUACCAGCCAAGUUUUUCAAGAAAGCAGGCGUACCGGAGUUGAUGUAUGAACCUUUAUGCUAUCUUUUUUUAAACUGAAUUUUAUAAUUAUGACUAAAGUUUUGGGGGCAUCCGCCCAUUUAAUUUGGCAUAAGAAACACAUAGGGAGCAAAGCUUCAUUGCCUAGCUUUUCCAUACGACACACAAAGUUGCUACCGUCACGUAACAAAAUUUUCCACCUCCACAGAAAUAAAGUUGUCACGUACGACGGGCAAGUUGUUACACAAAAAACGUGGCACGAUCGCAGAUACUUUUCACCAUUGGACGAACAGCAGACCGUUCAAUCUAGGAGACUAAAGGGCCCUUAUCAAUUCCGUUUGACAUAUUAGUUUCGUCAUAAGUUUGGUUUCACUAUGUUUAUUAUUUCAGGAUGGACAUCUAAUGUAUUACUAUUGAUUUCGUAUUGCAGAUGUCAUUAUUUUUCUAAACUUAGUCAAAUUUUAAAAUUUAACUUAGAGCAAAUAUAUCUACUUUUAAGGAACAGAGGGAAUAUUUGUUAACAAGGACUCUAGUUGUGUCAUUUUUUGAAUUUUUGGCCAUUCAGUGUGAUUCAUAGUUUCUUCUCCGGCGUGCCAAUGGACAGGAGACUGGUAUUAUAAAAUCUACUAUUCUCCUCUUAAAAGAGCUAGACUACGCUCCUCCUCAGCUAUUCUAUCGUGUUGGGCGUCUACGCAUCGUCCGAUCAGUAGUCGCUGGUAAUGCUGGCUGAUCCAGAGCGUCUGUUGAGCUUUCUUUUUUGUUACUUCAGCCGGUCUGGUUAGGUGUGGCUGCAGGUGGCCUGGGGCACAUGUGGGACGAUUGUAUCAUUAGAUGGACGGGCGGAAGUUGAGAGCUUUCUCUUUUUCCUGGUCACUCUCAGUACAAUAUCUUAAGUGACUAAGGCAGCAACGGCAUGAUGACAGUGGCGACGACGUGACGAUGGUACGACGGCCUGUUGCGUGUCCGAGAGAGAGAGAGAGGAGGGAGGGAGGGAGGGAGGCUUUACCGUUCUCCAUUCUCUCAGCGCGUCUCACAUUCACUCGAUUUUUCUCGCCAGCUUCUCUUACAGGUGUCUAGCGAUGGCAAUCGCGGCGGAAGACGACAUGGGUGGGCGUUGCCGCCUGCCGGGACAGGCGUUCGAGGCCAAAGGUGUGGCGUGGGAGCGGCACACGCUCCGGCAAGCGGUUAGGUCGACCGCGACGCACAGGGUAUGGAUGGACGGUUGAGAUGCACAGUCUCUCGGCACUUGGAGCGAAAAAGAAGCCACACAGGGCCCCUGUCUCCCAGGGCGAUGCGAUGAAAACUCUGACGGCCGGUGGCGGCGCCCAAGUGGUGGCAGGUAUCCUCUUACGGAGCCCUAUAAGCAUAAACGUAGUUUCCGUACGGCAGAUAAAAUAGAUUUUACAAAAAUAUAAAUAAAAGGACAAUUUAUCCGCAGAAAAAACACGGAUGUGGUGUUGCUAUAGAGAUCGAAGUUGACUGACUUUUAGUCAGAAAAAACACGGAUGUUUUAUCGGUGUUGCUAUAGAGAUCGAAGUUGACUGACUUUUAGUCAGAGAUAAGCCGACGUGCUGACCGUUGAAUCUUAAUCCAACGGCAUGAUGUGAAGAAACUGGAGAUAGAUUGAGUGAGAAUGAUAUCAAUAUUUUAAUCCAACGGUUCUAGUGCGAACACCGAGAUUUAAAGUUUUGCCGUAAAUCAAGAUAACACCAAUAUUUUAUUAGUAAUAAAAAAAUGAAAAUAGGUUGGAACUUGGAAGGCAGAAAAGCCUUCGCCCAAAAAGUCGCUCCCACGGUUUCCUCCAUGGUAUGCGCCGGAAGCUUGCGCUCCUGCUCGCCGCCGCCAAUGGCGCCGCGCUCCCUCUCUCCCAUACGAAGCAGAUUCACGCGCGCCUCCUCCUCGUCUCCCCUUUCAUCCCCGACGACGUACGCCUCUUUCUCCUCCGUUCCUAUGCUGGGCGAGGGGACUUCGCGUCCGCGCACUGCCUGCUCGACGAAACACCCCGCCCGGUCUCGCCGCUGCUCUACAACGCUGUCAUACGUGCCCACGCCCGCCGCCUAGACCUCCCCGCGGCGCUCGCGCUCUUCGCCAGAAUGCGACGCUCCGCCACCCCGCCCGACGCCCACACCUUCGCCUGCGUCGUCCGCGCAUGCGCAGACUGUUCAAGCCCGGACACAGCCAAGAUCGUCCAUGGCGUUGCAUCUUCUUCCGGCAUGUCCUCCCAUCCCGUCGUUGGCAGUGCGCUGGUCAGUGCGUAUUCAAAGUUUUUGCUCGUGGACAGUGCUCGCCAUAUGUUCGAUGGAUUGCCUGACCCGGACUUGGUUCUCUGGAACUCAAUGUUGUCUGGGUAUGGGUACCGGGAAAUGUGGGUAGAAGGGCUUCAACUGUUUUCUGCAAUGCGUAGAGCUGGGGAGGAGCCAGAUGGAUACUCCAUGGUCAGCUUAGUCUCGUCCUUUCGGAAUCCAGAGGCACUUGAUUUUGGUCAAGCAGUUCAUGGAGUGUGUAUCAAGGGCGGUUAUGAUUCUGGACACCACGUGAGAAGCGCACUUGUUAGCAUGUACUUCAGGUGUGGCUGCAUGGAAUCUGGCCAAACCUUGUUUGGUAAUUUGCUGGAUGCGGAUUUGGUUACAUGGUCUUCACUAAUUACAGGGCAGUUGCAGACUGGGAAGUAUGAGGAGUCAUUCAAUCUGUUCCGACAAAUGUGCUACUCUGGCAGGAGGCCUGAUAGCAUAUUGAUCGCUAGUCUUCUUUCAGCAUGUGCUUCUACAGCAACUGUCAGCUGUAGCAGGGAGAUCCAUUGUUAUGCGAUCAGGAUUGGAGCUGAUGCAGACGUUAAAGUCUCAUCUUCACUAAUGGAUGCAUAUGCAAAAUGUGGCUUUGCUGAGCUCGGAUAUUUGGUGUUCCGCCAAAUGCCUAAUAAGAACUCAGUCGUGUACAAUAUGGUCAUAUCAAACCUUGGUUCUCAUGGGUUUGCAUUGAAAGCCAUUGAAGUCCAUGAUGAGAUGAUUUGUGACAAGUAUAGGCCUGAUGGUGCUACCUUCUCUGCUUUACUUGCUGCUUGUUGUCAUGCAGGACUCUUAGACGAGGGAUGGAAGUUGUUUAGGAGAAUGCAAGAUGAGUUUCACAUUGUGGUUGAAAUGGAGCAUUAUGUGUACAUGGUAAGGCUUCUUGCAACAUUUAACCAGCUGAAGGAGGCAUAUGAUCUUAUACAGACAAUGCCAAUGGCACCAGAUUGUGGCGUGUGGGGUGCACUGCUUUGGGGGUGUUGUUUUCACCGCAAUUCCAGCCUUGGUAGGGUAGUUUCUGAAAAGCUCUUUGAGAUUUAUCCAGACAAGGCUGCUUACGGGAUCAUGCUUUCAAACUUGUAUGCAUCGCAGGACAUGUGGUGGGAUGCUGAGGAGGUCAGGUCUGAGAUAUUGAAAGAAGGUAUGCACAAGAACACAGGGAUCAGUUGGGUUGGUGAAGUAAGAAAAUGAUGAUUGUGUAUCCAUCAUUGAAAACAUUUCUGACAACCCUGUAUUGUUAUGGUCUGAUAGAAAUGAAAUCUUUUGAAACUCCUUGAAACCUUUUUUGUUCAACUUACCUUUUGGCAUGUAUUAUUUUCUUUCUUUUUUUGUCAUUUACGUAGGAUUAUUUGCUGUGUAUAGCAUUGCUAUUUUAGUAUGCAUCCAUGAAAUUUUGAGUUCCUAAUCGUUAUCGUAGUUGUUAAUGACGUGGAGUAACAUAAACUUCGGAACAGUAGUAAUAGCAACAGUAGUAAUAGCUGAAGCGCUCUUGAUUUGAGUCUGUAGUAAUUUUCUUGCUUUGUUCAUGUGGCGGCACCCCUUGUUACCUCUAUAUAGCUGUCAUGUUAUAGAAGAUCACUGAUUCUCUGUAUCAUUGUUGCUUACAACUUCGGUAACCCUGACAGUUUUUAGUUUGCAAAAUGUAGUAAAAAAGCAUUUUUGGGUGAGGGAAUACUCUUUUCUUUGACUUUGUAUACUAUAUCGUUGUUAUAAUAGUAGAAUUUUUAGAACUCUUGGGUGCAGCUUCACUGACAAAUUCAAACAGGGUAUUACAGUAUUUUAUCUGCGUCUAUCAGUCCCAAAUUUAAUAAUCAUUCAACAGACAAAAUGCUCUCAGUGUCUCAGAACAAGCAGUCUCUGUCAAGUUGUCCUUUUCGCUGUUAUAUUUUUUAGGUCUGGAAACAUACAAUCAAGCUCUAAACCUAGCGAAAUAGGCCAAAUGUUGCAAGCCAAAGACGAGCUUGGCUCCUCCUUAGCUGGCCAAUAUUUUAAAUAUUGGAUCGGAGCUGGUGGACAUUGUGAGAAGCACCCUGACCUGAAUCUUCCAUAGUCUAUUGAUGCCAUUUUCCUAUAUUCCAAACCAUUAGAGCUUUUGGGGAAGCGGAUUAAUCUAGGAACAACAGUACCAAGCUACGUACAUCACAGCCGGCCUUGCCUGGCAAUUGACAUUUUCGCCUCCUAGCUAAGAAUUGUCAUACAAGCAUUAGAAGCUGAAGUCUGGAGCACGGCAGAUAAACUACUAGCUCUGCAACCGAAUUCGAGUUGCCUCUCCUGUUGCUAGUUCCCCAUGGCCAGACAUAGUUCCCUCUUCUUCUUCUUCUUCCUUGCUUUGUUUGUGCAGCACCUUCACGCCGUUGUCUCUCUGCCCACUUUACCCAGAAGAAGCUUAGAACCAGCGGCGGAGCAAUGGCAGCCCAUGCAAUGCGCCCCUCAAUCCCUGAUCCCUUCGUGCAACUCGUACCUCUAUGUGACUCCUCAAGGACGCAGCCUGUCCGAGAUAGCCUCCGACUUCAAAGGCAACGCGUCUCUCAUCCAGCCCAUCAAGAGGCUCUCAGGUUCGGAGGACCUGCUGAUACCUGUGCCGUGCAUGUGCGAGGCGAUCAAUGCCACCGUGAAUGCUCUCUUCCAUGACACCGGGUAUGAGGCGAUACAAAAUGACAUUUCUGACGACAUCAACAGCAAUAAGUUCAGUGGGCUUGCGUGGAACUUAACUGCUGGACUGAAUAAGGGAGACACAAUCACGGUUCACCUUCUAUGCGGGUGUUCCUCCACGGCACCAGAGGGGGUGUUGUCAUACACGGUCCAGCCGGAAGAUACCCUGAGCAACAUCGCAACACUGUUCAGUUCAGGCUCCAGGGAGAUCCUAAGCUUGAAUCCGGCGGUCAGAAAUCCUGAUUUUAUUAAGCCAGGGUGGGUGUUGUUCAUCCCGAUGGGAGUUGCUGCUUCUUCUAACAAAAGUGAGUCACUUCUACUUAUUUUGCAUAUUUUGAAUUUUUUAAACUACAUUAAAAUGGAUUAUAUAGAAUGUUGGUGCCACUGGCAUGCUAUUACAUUGCUAAAAUGUGAUAUGCAGUAUAUCUUCUUUUGCGUCCAAAUCUGCGUUGUUAAACAUCAUGAAAGUUCCAAUGAUCUGAAAACUAUAUUAUGUUCCUUAUGCUAUUUUCCACUCUUUGUUAACUGACCGCUUGACUUUUUUUUUGUUCUUCUCCUUUCUUGAUUCAAACAUUUAGAGAUUGGCGGUUUACCGAUCAUCAUAGCAGUAUCCAUAUCAGCUGCAGUUUCGCUUCUUUGUAUGUCCAUCAUCAUACUACGCCUGAAAAGGAGGUCUCCUCUGCCCAGUGUUGAAGCGCCAAAGAAUAAGAUGGAGAAAGUUCCCAGCAACACAAGCAUUGCAAUCCUCGAGAGCCGUUACUUUCCAUCCAAGAGAAUUGAUGGUUGUUGUGCAUGCUAUGUGUAAAAUAUUUUCGAUACGACAUACAUCAUCUUAUCUUAUUACUCUGAAUCAAUUGGUUGCAGAAAUCGAUCCUUUCCAAACGGAGAGGCCUGUGAUUUUCAGCUUGAAAGAGGUUGGAGAUGCUACAGUUAAUUUUGAUGAGAAGAGGAAGAUCGGUGAGGGAGGAUAUGGGAUGGUCUACCUAGGUUUCAUAGGGACACAUGUAAGAUAUUUCUAUACUUUCUUGGUUGACUGUAAUCUUUUAGUAACAUUAGAUCCUUGUGAUCUUGCACGCAGGAGAUUGCAGUUAAGAAGAUGAAAGCCAGCAAAUCGAAGGAGUUCUUCGCUGAGCUGAAAGUCUUGUGCAAAGUACAUCACAUAAAUGUGGUAUGUACUUAGAUUGUAGAAUCUACCAGGAAACAAACAUCAAUGAUUGCAGAUGCAAAGAGAGUUCUUUCUUUUAAACAUGUGCAAUUAAUCAUAUAGGUUGAGUUGAUUGGCUAUGCUGCUGGGGAGGAUCACCUGUACCUUGUUUACGAGUAUGUCCGGAAUGGAUCGCUUAGUGAGCAUCUCCAUGAUCCUUUGCUGAAAGGUACGAGAAAGGAAGAUGAUUGUUCAAUAUUUAUUUGCUUCUUUCCAACAGAAAUGAUAUAUGUUGCUUUACUGAAAGCUUGUGUAAAGUUUCAAUUUCUACAAACUCAUGAACCUAAACAUUGCCUCGGGUUCAUAACUUACAAUUACUGAAUAUCAUGAGGAAUUUUUAGGCCAUCAACCUCUCUCAUGGACUGCAAGAACACAGAUAGCAAUGGAUGCAGCACGGGGUAUAGAGUACAUCCAUGACCAUACAAAGGCCUGUUAUGUGCACCGCGACAUCAAAACGAGCAAUAUUCUGCUAGAUGACGGACUAAGAGCUAAAGUGAGCCAUUUUAUGCCACAAAAUUUCAAGUGUUACUUCUCAGAUAUUCCAAUCUGAUUAUUUUCUGCAUAACAGGUUGCGGAUUUUGGGCUCGUGAAGCUUGUUGAGCGCAGCGAUGAAGAUGAUUGCCUGGCAACUCGUUUGGUUGGAACACCAGGCUACCUUCCACCAGAGUUAGUUGUAGAUUGGAUUUGAUUUAUAUUUUCUUCAGUGAUGGAGUUUCACAUGUAGUAUGAUAUCCAAGCAUUAACCCGGCCUGCAGGUCAGUUCUUGAGCUUCACAUGACUACCAAGUCCGAUGUCUAUGCAUUUGGAGUAGUUCUAGCAGAGCUAAUUACUGGUCUGCAUGCACUUGUGCGGGACAAUAAGGAAGCUAAUAAGACCAAGUCACUUAUCUCAAUCGUAAGAGCCCUUGAAACUGUUGAGAACUGCUCCAUUCUUAUAGUUCACAUGUCGAUGAUGUCCACCAAUGUUUUCAUCACUCUUCAACCAAAUCAUUAAACAUUUUUCCUGCUCUAAACAGAUGAGGAGAGCUUUCAAAUCAGAAUAUCUAGAGAGCUCACUGGAGAAAAUCAUAGAUCCCUCCUUGAAAGACAACUACCCAAUAGAAGAAGUGUGUAAGGUUAGUUGAUUUGAACACCAGCACCCACUCAUCGAAACAUCUGUUAACUGAAUACUGAAUAUAUAUUUAUUUUCUAUAUGUAGCUCGCAAACAUUUCGAUGUGGUGCUUGAGUGAGGAUCCGUUGGACCGGCCUGAGAUUAGAGAGAUUAUGCCAGUGCUGUCCCAAAUUCAUAUGACCUCCAUAGAGUGGGAGGCGUCACUCGGAGGUGACACCGAAGUCUUUAGCGGAGUUUUCAAUGGUAGAUGAUCACACCUUGUUGCAUGCUUUGAUCGAUGUGGAUAAGAAAUAUGUUCUCAUGUUGAUUUUAUUUGAAGGAGGAGAAUGGUUCUUGGUUUGCAUUUUGUGAAUUUAUUUUUUGAGGCGAUUGAAAAUUUAUCUACUUCCUUGCAAACAGGUAAUUUGUAGUAUGCGACUCUCUUACUCUUUGCCAGAUUUGAUAACUACAAGGAGUAUUAUUGACUUUUAGGACACGGCCAAGAAAGAGAUGGCUAGCUUUAUCUAAACUUGUGCGGCCUGAACUGGAGCUGCCAUUUGCUGCUUGUUUGCAGCUAUUUGUUCACUUCUCUUCGCGCAAAGAACACAGUACAGGCCUCCAACCAUUAUCAUUCCACCUGUUACACUGCAGGAAAAACUAUAAAUUCAGCUAAAAAAGAACUCGAAUCUUUUCAACAAUAUGAAUGUAGUGAGCUGAACAGCAGGCGGCACCUUCCCAGGGAAACUGAUUCUCCUAGGAGAAAUGAGGAGAGUGCUAUUGUGACAAGCAGAGUUAUUGGCAUUGUCAUGGCCAGGAAGACUGGCCCGCUCUUGUCUAUCACCCAUACUUGCAUGUAAUAGCCAACUCCAGAAACAACUAUACCCUGCAUGCUAUUUUGUGUUGGAAGAAUGGCAGUGUAAACAAAACAAAAGGGACAAUGUAGAUGGGAACAUAUAUUCUGCUGACUGGCAGGAUAAACGGACGAAACUGUAACAACAAAUUUCAAUUAGUGUUCAUUGUCAGAUCAGGAAACCUAAUACUAGAACACGCUUUGAAACUUAAGUAAUGUACAGUUUCGACUAUCGAACAGGACCUAAAAUUUUUUCUGGAACUCUGACUUUACGAUGUUGCAUCACAAAAAGAAAAAUAAGACAAAUUUUUAUCACCUAAACUCUGAUGAUAACAAGAUUGUCGAUACUUUAUUCUCCUGAAGUAACCAAACAAUCUGGACAGAUGUCAAACUUACAGUGUAAAGCACAGCAACAAGACAUGCAUCUGGUCCCAACUUCCAUCGUGAAAAAUCUCUCUCAACUGCUAAAGCGAUGAAGAAAGACUGAAUGGUUGCAAAGAUAAUCUGGAGAGUUGUGUUGAGCAGUUUAGAGGGGUACGCCUCCAACAUUGGCCCCUGGGAAGUACUAUUCAGGUUAAAUUGCAUGACCAAGCCUAUACCAUUCGAUUCAGCAUUAACGUUUCAAACCGACUCUGCAAAAAUUCAUAUAUACCUGGAGUACUGUCCAGAGAGCCCAACAUGAUGUGGAUAAAGUUGUCAAGAAAAUUCCUAAUACCCAACUUGUUGUAGGAUGAGCAGCUACCCCAUGAUGGGUGGUACUUAUGUGGUGAAAUAGACGGUGAUGGUUCAGAGAUUUCAGUUGAGGUCCUUGGUAAAAUGCAAGUACGAUAACACCGGCAAUGCAGAACAACACGCCAGAAACCUUUGCAAUCCCGUAGAACCUUUUCAAGUUCAAAAACUCCACCCUGCAAGGUAUACAACGAAGAAUGUGAAAUCUAACUAGCCUCCAAGUUCGUGCAAGAAUUACAAUCUACCAAAUUUGUCCAAUUGUGAAAUUCCUGGGCUCCCUUAAUUCCAGCUGUGUAGAGAGCGCGUUUGCAUGGGUGUGUGGUGCUGUGUGAGUGUGUAUACAUCUCACUUAUAAUUGAAAAAAAAAAAAGAAUGCUGGAUGUAGUCCAUCAGAAUAGACAAAUGUGACCACAUGAACUUUCUAUGAAAUAAUGCAAGUAUAGAAACGAAAACCUUUACCCCAAAAGAAGAGCCAAAAAGAAAGCAACCACCGGUAGAAGGUUCAGUAUUGCAGAUGACGCUGUUGCUGAAGCAUAUUUGAGACCAAGGCAAGAUAUGUUAAUCGCGCCAGAAAUCCUAUGAAAAAUGAAAAGGUAUAUAAAAUUAUUAAUCCAAUGCUCUUCAUAAUAACUUAUUUUCGACCAACCCUGCACAGAGGGAUCACUAUCAGUUAGAAAUUGAACAUAGGUUUAUUUUUGGAACAGAUCAACGCUGGAUAGACGUUGCUGAAGCUAAGCAAUUAUGUACUUCACAGCAACAGAAAAAACACAGGAAGAACAUGCCUUCUCUCCUGCAUGGUUUGGAAAAAGAAAAGAAAAAAGAGGAACAAAAAAUUGUGCCCUACACUUUGCCCCAGAAAAGAGAGACUAUAACAAUAUAUGGUGCUUUUUUACUUCGAAGAAGGAGAAAUGGACAAACAACAGCAUGACUGAAUGCGGAGACUGAAGAACUAACUCCAAACAUAGUUUGUUUCUUUUUUUUUAGCUGAUAGAUUGUUUGCUUCAUAAGGACUUGACAACGAACAUUGUGAACCUGAGAAACAAGAAUAGCUUCGGUGGUCAGCUAGCGAGGUAUGUUGACAGCCCACUAGAGUUCGAUCUUCGAAGGUCACACUUUGGUGUCUCACUUUGUAAAAAUUAUAUAUCAAUAUACCGUCAGACUGUGUGAACCUCUUCUAGUUCGGUAUAAGGUUCUGAAGUUUUAGUGUUGCUUUAUUGCACCCAAUGUUUCACCAUGGCAGCUAUUAACAUUUUUCGAGGACAGCUAUUAUAUUUCAGGACAAUACCAAUCAGAUUCAUAUGGAAAAAAGAACAACUGCAGUAUAUGAAUCACACUUUGACCUACCCAUAGAAUGCAUGCGCAAAAAGUUUGAGAGAGACUUUAAAUGACAGUGGUGGAGCUGUUUUCCUGCACAAAGAAACCUUAAUCCAUGGUUCCAAACUUCCAAAAUUGCAUAUAGGUAAAUAAGCAGAGAAACAUACAUACCUUUCAAGCACAAAAGCAAUAGGCACUAAGAACAGAAGAGCAGUUGCAUGCCUGUAGAAAACAAACACAGACGUGCUCAUGCCUUCAUUGAAAGCAAGUUUGGCAACUAUUUGCGCGCCUCCAUAUAUGGACCUUAUGAGGAACGCAACAACGAAAGCUGCUCUAUUGCUCAUUACAACAGUCUGAACUGAACUUAGGCAAUCAUGUUUCACAAUGUAGAGAACACUCAGGUUACUCAACUUAGUUAUGGAUGGCAGAUGGCACAGCACCGAGAACUUUCAACCGAAAGCUUGAGCAUCUGCUUUUAAAUAAAAAUAAAUUUCACACGACCACACAUUUUGUGGCAAUGGUGCAAUAGAACCAAACUUGUGACCAAUUUUCUCACGGAACCACAACUCUCGAGGCAGUGUUUUUCAAAUAACCAAAUUGUUCCAGUUUAGUGGGUUUGACGGGCCCACUUGUUAGAUGUCAAAUCAGAUCCCACUCGACUCGUUAACUCGGUCAUUUCUCCCCUAACUUCCCAACUCCAUCUGACCCCCGAAUUUCCAUGCCAAAGAUUGUUUCUACAGAGUCCUCUAGUCUUGUCAGCCCUGCCAGGUAGUUUUGUUGAGCACGCUUGUUAUUUGUCUUUUCCUUAUAGUUUUGCUGUUUCGGUUUCGUGAUUGGAUCAAUUGGUACACGUUGGUGUUUAACGUGGCUACAGAGUCUCAUUCCGUAAACUCUCGUUUUUGAGCUAUAUGUUACAACUAAGUCUUAGCAAAUGAUUCAUAAUCUGAAAAUUGUUUUUACGAGUUUAAAAGAAAGAAAAGGUAAAGUGAGACAAUUUUAUCGCCACAGUCCGUUGUUGUGCAACUGAGUAUUAUGUCAGUGUCUAAUGUUGAUUCCCUCGGGGCAUGCCUUUUCAGAUAAUCAGAUUACCCCAUGGUAGUCCUGCUUUCUCAGCAGCAGCUCAGAAAGAAUGGAGGAGGAGACAUUGCGCAUUUGUUCUAACUAGCUCAUGCAUACGGCAGGGAUGAUAUCGAUCGUCCAUAGUGGGGGAAUCACAUAUGAUACUCUUAUGCGUAUCGCUUUGGGAGAUGCCGGUUCUCUUUGUAAAACAUAGGUGAACAAUUUGCGUCGUCCUGGCAGCAAAUCUAAACUUGGACCUUACUAUUAUGCUACGGAGUACUAUAAAGGACAAUUGAUGACCGUGUCACGCACCAAGUCCCUUCUUCCUUAAAAAAAAAAUCUCAAGUGGUGUUUUGAAAAAUAGAAACAAAAAUGUUACGCAAGUUUUUCUUUUAGAUGCACUCAAGUUUUUUCUAACUCCCUCUCCCCAAGCAAGCAAUCUAGUGGCUAUUAAAAACAACGGUGAUGCAAAACAAGCCUCACAAAAAUCUCAUGCCAUGCAAAACUAUUACUCCUAUAGUAGCAUUUUUGCAUGCUGGCCUGGUCCAAUUAGCAUUUUUCUUCUUUUUUUAUGACUUACAACCCAUUUUCGUCAGAUUACAACACUAUGUAAAUAAAAGUAUGGUCCCAUUUUUCUACGAAUAAAAAUUGUCGAACACGAGACCACCCCAUCAACCAUCCAUCUGCUAACAACGAACAGACCACGUUAGGUCUUGGUUGGUGUUAGUGUAUUUUUUAGUCACUGGUGUUUUAAUAUUUGAGGGUUUUGGGUGUUCGUCCAAAACACUCAGAAAUCCAAAACACUAGUUUGAGAAGUGUUUUAAUUUGGUUAAAAAUGGAGUGUUUUGUUGGAAAACUAGGAAUAAUCCCCUCCAAACACUUCCUACCAAACAACCAUUUGGGGUUUGUAGUGUUUUUCAAUUUGAAAUGGAUAAUACCCUAGAAAACAUCCCAAAACUCACUAGUACCAAACAGGGCCUUAGUGUUUCGACCUGUACCAAACAGGGCCUUACUGUUUCGACCUGGUUGCACCGCAAGCCCUUUUUCUCCUAUAGUUUGACUUUUUUUUAGCAUAUCCUAUAGUUUGACUUUUGUUUUAACAGUGCGUUUGUCUUAGUGGCCACUAGAUCGAUCGAUCUUCUGUCUGCAACCACCGUACGAGCGCUACCUGGGUUGGGGAAUGGGCUCGGAUGGGUGGAAAAAAAGAAGACCGCGGAACUACCUGCUGGGCUGGACGGCUUUCAUCAGGUCCACCGGGAUUCAGGGGACGGGAGCAUAGGGCUUCUGUGCCGCGCAUGGGCCUGUUCGUGCCAGCCCACUCCCUGAGGGGCCCUGGCCGGGCUAAGCCCGUAUAAGUUGGGCGGGCCCAGGCCGACCCGAUGGCCAGCUAUACUGCCGCUUUGUUGCUCCCUCGUGAGGCCCACCGCCACCUCCGCGGGACCCCUAAUCUCCACUCCACGGCGGUUGCUCAAAUUGAGUCCACAUGGAAACAAUCUCCUUCUCCAUCUUAGCACCUUCGGUCAUGAGGCAAGCUCUAUAUGUGGGCCGUCCUAUAUGUGACUACUUCUAUAUGUAUUUGUUCAAACAAAUUGAUCUCACCUAAAGCAAGGCUAUAUGCUGCUCAUCCUGGGCCGGUGGCUCCGGUCUAUUCCUAGAGCAUCUCCACUAGCUUACCAAUCUUUGUUAUCUAUACCUAAAAACUGCCGAUAUACUAAAUCAGUGGCAAAAAAAAAUGCCCCACCAACUUACUUAUCUCAUUUGGUAUACCUAUGUUUUUUAGGUAAUUACUUAUCUUUCUCUCUCCUCUACUCAAAUAUAGGUAACGAGAAUGCCCUUUGGUAAAACUUCCAACACAGCGCGGGCAGACCCACUGCCAUGGGAAAAUCUCCCGCUCGUCCUGGUCCGCCGCUGUCAGGCCCAAAUCUGGCCGGCCGCCGCCGCCCGCUCCUCCCUGACUUUUGCCGCCCCUCUGCCACCCCGCUUCCGUCCUCUCCCGUCCCUCCCAGAAAUGUUUGCCAGCUGCACACUCCACGUGGCCGUCAUGUCAGUUUCGACCAGAACCGCAGGCUGCUACUUGAUUUUUUAAAGGUUUUUUCAAGGCGAUUUAAAAUUUAUACUCUCUCCGUCCCAUAAUUCUUGUUGAAAUAUUACACGUAUUUAGACAUUUUUUUGGAAUACAUACAUUCAUAUUUGGGCAAAUUUGAGACAAGAAUUAUGGGACGGAGGGAGUAUGUUUCUUUGCAAACAGGUAAUUUGUACUCCCUCUGAUUGUAAAUUCUUGACUCAAAUUUGCCCAAAUAUGAAUGUAUUUAUUUUUAAAAAACGUCUAGAUACAUGUAAUAUUUCGACAACAAUUUAGAAUCGAAGAGAGUAGCUUUUUAUAUUUUUGACUGAAUAAUUUGUAGCCUUUUAUAUGCAAAACUCCUUACUCUUUGCAUGAUUCGUUAACUACCAGAAGUAGUACUGGUAUUAACUUUUGGGACACGGCCAAGAAAAAGCUAGCUAGCUUUAUCUAAACUUGUGCGGCCUGGACUGGCGCUGCCAUUUUCUGCUUGCUUGCAGCAAUUUGUUCACUUCUCUUCGCCCAAAGAACACAGUACAGGCCUCCAACCAUUAUCACUCCACUUGUUACACUGCAGGCAAAAACUAGAAAUUCAGCUAAAAAAACUCGAAUCUUUUUAACGAGAUGAAUGUAUAGUAGCUGAAUAGACACCGUACCUUCCCAGGGAAACUGAUUCUCCUAGGAGAAAUGAGGACAGCGCUAUUGUGACAAGCAGAGUUAUCGGCAUUGUCAUGGCCAGGAAGACUGGCCCACUCUUGUCUAUCACCCAUACUUGCAUGUAAUAGCCAACUCCAGAAAGAAGUAUACCCUGCAUGUUGGGCUCAUUAAUCUAAGCGUAAACAAAACAAAAGGGACAAUGUACGUAGUAACAUGUAUUCUAAUGAGUGGCAGGAUAAACAGAGGAAAUUGCAAUGACGUACUCCCUCCGUCCCAUAUUAACUAUCAAGUGACUUUCUAUUACAUGCAUCUAGAUACAUUCAUAUUUGGACAAAUUUGAGUCACUCAGUAUGAGACGGAGGGAGUACGUCAUUUAGGGCUCAGUGCUCUUUCUAUUACAUGUAUCUAGAUACAUCUAUAUUUGGACAAAUUUGAGUCACUCAGUAUGAGACGGAGGGAGUACGUCAUUUAGGGCUCCAAGAAACACGCUUUGAAAGAAGUAAGAUUCACUCUCCAGCCGUUAGAUCUAAUAAAAUGGACGGAUGAAGAAAAAAUACACGCACUGUAGAACUCCUCAAGUAAUGUACAGUUCCAAAUAGGCCCUAAAAGAUAUCCUGGAACUCUGACUUAGGUCAUUUUUUGAAAAGAAUCGUGGCCCGGUUGUUCAUUUUUUUUCCAUGUCGUCGAUGUACAAAUGAUCAUUAAAACGGAUGCACCAGGAAGAAAUUUUCGCUUGAAACUUUCUUAGUUUCUAUAUUCUCAAGUGCUGUCGAUUUCUCACUGCUACUUUUAUAACUCAUAAGAGGAAGAAUAAAGCAACUUUUAUGACCUAAAAUCUGAUGAUAACAAGAUUGUCAAAACUUUGUUCUCCUGGAUUAAUCAAAAAAAAUCUGGAGAGGUGUUGAACUUACGGAGUAAAGAACGGCAACAAGACCUGCAUCUAGUCCCAGCUUCCAUCGUGAAAAAUCUCUCUCGACUGCCAAAGCGAUGAAGAAAGACUGGAUAGUUGCAAAGAUCAUCUGGAGAGUUGUGUUGAGCAGCUUAGAGGGGUACGCCUCCAACAUAGGCCCCUGGGAAGUACUAUUCAGGUUAAAAUAGCAAGACAACCCCAUGUACACCAUUUGAUUCAGUAGUACUAUUAAUGUUUCCAAGCGGCUCUGUAAAAAAUCAUAUAUACCUGAAGUACUGUCCAGAGAGCCCAAGAUGAUGUGGAUAAAGUUGUCAAGAAAAUUCCUAAUACCCAACUUGUUUUAGAAUGAGCAGCCACAUCAUGGGUGGAACUUAAGUGGUGAAAGAGACGGUAAUGGUUGGGAGGUUUCAAUUCAGGUCCUUGGUAAAAUGCAAGUACGAUAACACCAGCAAUGCAGAAGACGAUGCCAGAAACCUUUGCAAUCCCGUGGAACCUCUUCAAGUUCAAAAACUCCAUCCUGCCAGGUAGAUGAUGUAGAUUCUUAAAUCUAAGUAUCCUCCUUAAGUUCUUAAGGAAAUCUGGAUAUAGUGUAAGUAUAAAACGAAACCCUUACCCCAACAGAAGAGCCAAAAAGAAAGCGACCACUGGUAGAAGGUUAAAUAUUGCAGAUGACGCUGUUGCUGAAGCAUAUUUGAGACCAAGGCAGUAUAUGUUGAUCGCCCCAGAAAUCCUAAGACAGAAGAAAAGGCGCAUAAAAAUAUUAAUGCAUGUACAAAUAGAAAACGUAAGUACGUGACUAAUUCAAAAGGUAAAAUGUUUUAAGAGAACAAACCAAUUGCUGCAUAAAUAACUAAUCGUUUCGACCAGCUUCUACAGAGGGACUAUCAGUUAGGAAACCUUUAUUACGGAAUUUAAAAUAGAUUUUUCUUUGGAACGGCAUAGCAUAACGCUUGAUUGCCCUUACUGAAGCUAAUCAGUAUGUUCUUUACAGCAACCGAGAGAAGGGUGGAUAAAAUUUUUGUACCUUGCUCUCUGACAAAGUUGGAGAGCAAAAUAACCAUCUGUAGUGCAUUUUACUAGAAAAAAAAGAAGAGAAACGGACAUACGACUGAGUGGGGAAACUGAAGGACUACAUGCAAACAUAGUUUGUUUGUUCCGAUAGAUUGUUUGGUCGACAAGGACUUCAAAAUGAACAUGCUGAACCUCUCCGAGUUCAGUAUAUGGUUACUAGUGCCACUUUAUUACAACCGAUGUUUCGCCAUGACAGCCAUUAUGUUCCGGAACAAUACAAAUCAGACUGAUGUGAAAGAAAAUAACAAAUUUCAGGAUAUAAAUCACAAUUUGACGUACCCAUAAAAUGCAUGCGCAAAAAGUUUGAGACAGACUUUGUAUGACAGUGGUGGAGCAGUUUUCCUGCACAAAGAAACCUUAAUCCGCGCUUCCAAGAUUGCAUAAUCCAGGUAAAUAAGCAGAGAAGAGAAACAUGCAUACCUUUCGAGCACAAACGCAAUAGGCACUAAGAACAGAAUAGCAGUUGCAUGCCUGUAGAAAACGAAGACAGACGUGCUCAUGCCUUCAUUGAAAGCAACUUUGGCAACUAUCUGCGCGCCUCCAUAUAUGGACCUUAUGAGGAAUGCAACCACGAAAGCUGCUCUAUUGCUCAUCAGAACAGUCUGAUUGAACGUAGGCAAUCGUAUUUGGUGUAGAGAACACACAGCUUGCCCAACUUAGUUAUGGAUGGCAGAUGGCAUAGCAGAAAGAAUUUUCAAGUGAAAGCUUGAGCACCUACAUUUAAAUAAGUGUAUCUUGCUGUGGAAACAUACUCAUUAACCACUACUCUAAAAAGUAAAAAGUGGCCCCGUCUAGAAAUGGAAAUCGUAAUCAAAGAGUAGUGAAGGAUAAACAAACAACACAAAGCAGUAAGAUAGCUAUGCAGUUUUUUGUAUGGUUUCGUAGCAGCUAUCUCUUCCUUCCUUCCCUUUUGUCUUUGUUUUCUUUGAUUUGUAUAAGAUCCCUCGCCUUCUCAGCAAUUCCUUCUAACGAAAAUGACACACACUUCGGUGCAGGUUCGAGAACAAAAACAUGACGGCAAACACACUCGCUCAUAGUCUCAACCAUCCUGCCUCAUAUCUAUAUAUGACGAUAUAUGAUGGGAAAAUAGACACAUGUUUUACAUUAACGUCUACUUCCUCCUUUUCACAAAGGUUGGCAUAUUUGGUUUCGUUAAGAUAAGGCUUUGAUCAAUCACAAACUUUAUUAAUAUGUGUUUAAUCAUACAAGAAAUUUAUAGCAAUAGAUUUAUCUUUAAAAGUUCUUGCUAAUGAUCAUGAUUUUGUACCAUAUAAGUUACAUAUUAAUAAUGUAAUUCUUCAUCGAAAACAUGUCUUAACAAAACCAAAUACGCCAACCUUUAUCAAAAAGAGGGAGUAGCUUGUAGGACUUAUUUGGACAGUAGCUAAAUGUCCGUGCUCUGCUACGAAAUUAAGAAUUUGUGUUAUGCAUGAGUUGUUUAAAUAAUUGUUUAAAUUUCUGAUAAAUAAGAAUUAUGUCAAAAUAUUAUUUUUGAAAAAUGCAAUUACUCUUGAAAGUCAUGAAAACCAAUCAAGCAUAGUCAAAAGAUCAUGAUACAUAUGAAAUAAGUGGCAAUUAGAUGAUUCCGUAGCUUUUAAGUGGUAGUCUUGUUAAAGUGAACUCAUGACCACCAACUCAGAUCUUUAUAAGUGUAAAGAUAAAGAUAACAAGUAAACGUAGAGAAAAUAUAGGAUAAUGAACACAUAAUCUGGAAUUACAACUACUUCUUAGCAAAUGAUUCAUAAUACAAAACAGUCGGUAAUUUUAAACUGAUUUUGUAGGGAUAAAAGAAAUAAAAGGUAAUGUGAGACAAUUUUGUAGACACGGUCCGUUGUUGUUUGUGCAACUGAGUAGUCAGUGUCUAAUGUUGAUUCCGUCAGGGCAUGCCCUUUCAAAACAUUACCCGAUAUGAUAGUCGUGCUUUGUCAGCAGUAGCUCAGAAAGAAUGGACAAGAAGACAUUUGGCAUUUGUUCUGACGCAUGCAUACACCAGGGUGAUAUCGACCGUCCAUAGUGGGGGAAUCACAUAUAAUACUCUUAUCCGUUUCAGUUUGGGAGAUCGUGAUUCCCUUUUAAUGAACAUUGGUGCACAAUUUGCACUAUUGCAUCAAACCUCCAGUUUGUGGAAGGGCCCCUUGGAUAACAUUGCACAUGCAAAAACCGAACAAGCAGUUAAGCUGCUAUGGUUGACUGCCAAGCAAACAGUCUACAGAAAUGGAGCAGCUUCCAGUCAGCAGACGAGGAGCGAAAGUACACCUAAUGACAGAGCUUGCUGCUCAAAGUUUCAGCUCUUUCAUAUCUGGUACUGUCUUGAUCGAAUCUUGCGUUGCUAGAACUGGAGCUGCUCGUUCUUGUUCCUCCAAAUCAAAGCAUGCUGCAUUUUCUCCACGACCUCCUUGCUUGCUGGUAGCUACUUGCUCUAUUCUUUUCCCCCAGAGGACAUUGUACAGACCACCAACCAUCAGCGCUCCACUUAUUACACUGUGCAUUCAGAAAAGAAAUUUCAAGAAAACGGACGCAAUGUCUUCUGUCUAAACAGCAAAGCUUAAGAAAUAAACCUUCCCAGGGUGACUGCUUCCCCUAUGAGAAGUGACAGGAUGGCUGUGAUAACCAGAGUUAAGGGUACUGUCAUGGACAGGAAUACUGGACCACUCUUGUCAAUUACCCAGAUUUGCAGGUAGUUUACAAAUGCAGAAACUACUAUUCCCUGCAAUGUUCAGUAAUUUCACAGGGCUCGGUUUUAUUUCUUUUGACUUCCACGGCAACAGCAUUCUAAUGAGUAAAUGAUUUGCUGCUGUUGUGAGAGAUACUUACACAAUAGAUGAUUGCGACAAGACCUACAUCCAAGCGCAGCUUCCAUCUUGAAAAGUCUCUCUCCAUCACUAGAGCCGUAAAAAAACUUUGAACAGUUGCAAACACAACCUGAAUUGUUGUGUUAAGCAGCAUUGAUGGAUACUCCUCCAGUACAGGGCCCUGGAAAGCACCAUCUAGGUUAAAUUUCAGCAUGAAUAAAUUAGCAUCUGGACAUGCACAAACGCCUGACUGCAUAAGCUUGUGCGCGUACAGAGCAAUCAAUACCUGAAGCACCGUCCAAAGAGCAAACAUUGCAGUUGCAAGAGACUGCAAGAGAAUUCCCAAUAUCCAAUUCCUUGAGGGAUGAGCAUCAACUCUACUUAUGUGAUGAAAAAGGGGGUGAUGGAUGAAAGAUUUCAGCUCAGGUCCUUGGUAUAAUGCUAGUACAGUAACACCAACAGCACAUAGCACUAUGCCAGAAACUUUCACAAUCCCAUGGAACCUCUUUAACUUCAGAGACUCCAUCCUAUCAUAUGUUGAACAACAAAUCACUCAUCGCUCCACGGAAUUUUGGACAUAAAAGGUCCCACUGUAUACAGAGCAAGGCAAGCCUAUUUUUUUAUUCUCACUAUCACUACAGUAAAUAUUCAUCAAAGCACUCCUUUCUUUAACUGAGGCCCUGACAUUAAAUGUUUUUAACAAAGGAGAUAUUUACAAGGGGAAGAAGAAUGUACAAUGUGAGGCAAAUAAGGGAUCUAGCCAAGUUGAUCAGACAGGGGAGUCAAGCCAAUCCUUUAAGAGGAGUUUCAUAUUAACCCCAAUCCCGAAAAUUUUGAAAUUAAAUGGUCAGUGAUCCAUUGGGUACAUUUUACUUUACAAAAAUGACAUUUUAGUAUAUAUUUGAAGGAACAUACUCACAAAUAAUAACAAUGGUACCCAAUUAGGCAUGUCUUCCAGUGUCAAAAGUAGCCCAAAGAAAUAUAAAUUCUCCCUCUGUUCAAAAAUAUAAGGCAUAUAACUUUUGCAGCCAUGUUAAUUAAUACAAGCCACAUAUCAAAUUACUUGAUACAGCUAGAGAAGUAUUAUUAGAUGUCAAAUUUCAGGUGGACUUAUAACGGUGACUGGUAUUACUCCCAAUAAAGAAAAUAAAGAACAAUAACUAUUUGACCACAGCAAAGUUAAUUAGAGAAAGAGUUGUCAUUCAAAGGUAUUAGGUAUUAUCUCCAUUCUUUUAUUUAAUCUUAAAUUCUUAAUAAAAGCUGAGCCCAACCAUUGCAUUGCAAACAUCACUCACCUGGUGAUAUCAUCCAGAAUAAUUAAUGCCACUUGUUAUGCAUUUCUCAGGCCCUGCUUGGCUAGUUUAGGCCAGGGCGGCUAAGUUAGGCAAGCUUGAGCGUAGUUUAGGCAUGGACAGGUUGGGUUUGACUAGGCUCAGCCUGGGACUAUAUACAACUGAAUUGAUUCUUAUAUUUCUUUGUUUGAACAAUUGUAGUUUCGACUCACAAAAGAAAAGAUACUUCUAUCCUGUUGUCUAAAAAAUGAAUAAUAAUUAUUCAAAUCAUGAUAUAAUCAUUUCUUUUGCCUGUAAACAUCUCUACACUAUAAUCUCAAUUAUGGCCAACACAAGUACUUUAUUCUCGUAAUCAGAACAGCAACAUUUACGCAAUCUAUACUUCUGUAUAAUAUAUAAUUCAUGCUAUUUAUGUAUGGGUAUCAGAAAACCAAAUUCACCAAGGUUAGUUUUAUGGAACAUUUAAUUUUAGGCAUGAUAGUCGCAAGAUAAAGGGAAAUAUGUUCUGGUCUUCUAGGAACUCUUGCAACUACAAUUAAAAAACACAUACCCCAACAUAAGAGCCAAAAAGAAAGUUAAAACCGGCAAGAGAUUUAGUACUGCAGAAGCAGAUGUUGCUGAAGCAUAGUUGAGGCCAAUAGAUGAUAUGUUAAUAGAAGCAGACAGCCUGGGCAAAUGGAACAAAGAAGAUAGUCAAAGAUUGCAUACCUACAAAAUAAUUAGCUGCAUAACAUUUAUAGAAAUAAAAUCAACCAGUUAAGCAACCUACAAAAAGGAAACUCCAUAGCAGUUUCUACGUAACGUCUCCCAUUUAUUUUGUACUAAAGAAGAAAAGAAUAGGGAUAAAAAACCACUGCGCACAAGUGCAAGAGUACACAUAUAUGCACACAACCAAAGAGAAAAGUUACAAGCAUGGAAUGUCUGUCAAGCACACUUGACACAAAUGAAAGCUAUUUUUGUCAGGCAUACUUGAGGAAAUGAGAGCUAUGUUUGCAGAGCAAGAAAAAUAAAAGGCAAAGAAAAAAAAAAGAUACUCUGGGUCUGUUGUAGCCCACAAAAAAGUAUGGUAAAAUUGUGCACAAUAACUACUUUACAUAAUUAUUAGUUCUGCACAACAUUUGAAAAGAAUGUAAAUCAGUUAACCUAAUUAAAUAACUUAUUUUUCCUAGAAAGACAAACCACCAUUUCCACAGUUAGAUAUAUUACUGGAAAAAUAGAUUAAAUUUGACCUAAAUUUCCUAAAUUUAAUCAUUCAUUCUGCAGAAAAGGCCGGCUUGCUACUGAUGAAGAUGAGUACUAUAAUGAAAAUCAAUACAACUGAGGGUAGAAUUAACUGAAACAAAAGUAAUAUUGUGUAUUAAAAAGUUAUGCAUGGUUGGCAAAAAAAAGUAUGCAUGCAUGGACCCAAAAGAACUUCACAUAUAUGAAUUUCGACAAGAAUUAACAGAAUGACACAAUUACGUAGAGCAACAAUUCUGCCUUGCACUUUGACCUACCCAUAUAAUGCAUGCACAAAUAGCUUCACACAGACUCUGUAUGACAGUCGGGGGGCAGUUUUCCUGCAAAAAUAAACCUCAUGGUUUCCAAGAUGACAUACAGAUUCAGGAAAAUCAGCAACCAAAUUGCAUACCUUUCAAUUGCAAAAGCAAUUGGCACUAAGAGUAUGGUAGCUACUACAUGCCUGUAGAAAACAAGGACAGAUGUACUUGUGCCUUGGUUAAAAGCAACUUUGGUAAGUAUCUGCAUCACUCCAUAGAUAAACCUUAUGAGCAAUGAAACAGCGUAUGGUGCUAUAUUGCCCAUUCCUCUUGUUUGUUAGAACUUUGAAGAUGAUUGCUCAAAUACUACUACUUGCACAUGAAGACAGUCCAUCAAACCUUUAUAGUGCCUCGCAAAAAAAAAAAAACCUUUAUAGUGAUGAGGCUUGUUCGAUAUGACCUCAUAGGUAUCCACUUAAGCAAAUUAUACUAGUAUUUCACUACAUAGAGACCACACAAGUCACUCGCUUUAGUCAUGGUUAAAAAAAGAUAACAAAAGGUUUUUAGGUCUAACAAGUUGGUUACAUCAUGCUUUGCAACUAGAAUUAACAUGGUGUAAGACACCAAUUUCGCAACAAACUAGACAUCUCAUUCCAAGGUGCCUGAAUACUUAAUGGAAAGCAUGAUGCAUCUGCUUAAAAGCAUGUCCGUGUAGAUUUGGAGCAUCCAGCACUUAUUGCCCCAGAACAAAUGAAAAGUCGUCUGCACUAUCAGUAUUAUUCAUUUCAAGGACAUUGAUUUUCUAAGGAAAAUGAAGUAGGAAAUUCAAAGAGCUUGACUUCCAGGUCAAGGUAUCAAGAACUACAUUAAUUUCUCAUACAUAUUUCAUUAAACAAGAUGGUCAUACAUCAACCAUCAUUAGCCUUGUGUAAAAAAGAUUUAAGAGAAUUAUGGUACCACGAUUUUAAGUAGAGGUAAGUAUUAUGUUUCGUCCCCCAACUUUCACGGAAGUAUACAUUGGUUCCCUUGUGUUUUGUUCGUAGAUAUUUCGUCCCUCGGCUAUCGAAACCGGAUACUUUUGGUCCCUCGACCCACCCAAAGCGGUAUUGGGGCCAAUGUAGAGCGGUUUUGCGUCCGACUUGCAAUAUGGUUGGCUCCACUGCCGUCUCUCACUCGCGUGCGCCUGCUCCUUGCCUUCCUUGGCACUCUCCAGGGCCCUCUUCCCCUCCUCGGUGUCACCAGCGUCUAGGAUCCGCAGUGUGAACGCACAUUUGAACCCCGAGGACUGACGUGGUGCCCCCAUGUGCUCCCCUGGGGAUGGCCAUGUGACAUGUCAGAUGCAAAGCCGUUCCAUGUUAGCACCAAUACCGUUUUCGAUGGGCCAAGGGACCAAAAGUGUCUAGUUUUAACAACUGGGGGAUGAAAUAUCUACAGAAAAAUAUAAGGGACUAAAUGUAUACUUUCGUGACAGUUGACGAGGGACAAAAAAAAUAUAUUCUCAUUUAAGUAAAUUAUUCUAAACUGUUAGAAACGCAUUGAAGGUAACUGCUGAUACUAUAAUUUGUCGAACAUGCACAAGAUGUUCAGUUCAAAAUUAAAGCUUAUGCAUAUUCCUACAGAAAAAAAUGGUUUCAAUAGUUCUAACUCUCAAGCGCAAAGGUGACUCAAAUGCUUUUCACGUAUUCUGUACAAAAGGUGAUACUCCAUCGAAGUAGGGAAGGGGGGGAUUGAUCUUUUUUUGAAUCAGGCCUUACUGACCAAGUGGUGGUAUAAGCUUCAUUGUGGAUGAAAAGAAGUCCUUGUGAGCGGGGCUACAAAAUCCAGGGGCUUCCACUAUUUCUUUUCUUGCUUUAUUUUACAACAGACAGGAGUCAGAAAUUGGUUUCUCAGUAUAACUCAACUAAACAAAAGAAGGAUGCCCUAAGACCUAAUUAGCACACAAGGACCUGUUCUUUCUCACUAACUAGUAGCAUUAGGCUUGCCCUUUAUAUACAUAUAUGUGACCGGGGAAUAAAUUACUCUUAGGAAUUAAAGAAACUGCACUCACGAAUAAAAAAGAGGUUAUUCGUAAACAAAUGAGAGCUUUUCAGUGACUGAUAUGUACCUUCUCUCUGUUUUUCAAUAUGAGAUUCUUAUUACGAUUGUUAAAGCAACUCAGUAACAGCUGGACAAGUAUAGCAUAAUGCAUUGUUCCACUGAUGGAAACGAAGGUCCCAGAUGUAAAAGGAAGAACAAGUUUUUGGCAGGAAAAACAAAGUGAAGGGAACAAUGAGCAGAAAUUUUUGAAACUACACUUGAAAUACAUUUGAUAAAACUUGGCCCUAUUUUUUACAUUAAUUAUUUCAACUUUGUUUAUCAUGCAGGAAAAUAGUACUCCCUCCGAUCCAUAAUAAAUCCCUCCGAGCCAUAGUAAGUGUAGGAGAUUUAGUACAAACUUAGUACAACUUUUUACUAAAUCCUCGACACUUAUUAUAGAUCGGAGGGAGUAGUUUUUUAAUACAGUAGCAACUUAACAGCUGGAAUUAGCAUCAUGACAAAGCUAUCUUCUCUAAGCACAUCAGCAAGUAUGUAAUUCAUGGGUGCAAUUUUGUUCACCAGGCAUGAAAAUUGCAGAUAGCAACCAACUGGCUAGAAUUAAUAAAAAUACCACAGAGCAUUUAACUCUAAGAAGCAAGAACACACUCAAGGGGAAAUUUUAGUAAAUGGUGGUGAAUUACUGAAUUGCAUGUAAACACAAAAAACAUACAAAUCUCCAUAGUGUGGUGGACAUCAUGUAAAACAUUAUGCUAGCCAUUUUGAUUUAACCACAGAAGCACAUCAGCUACUGAACAUCCUUGCCGAUGCCAAACAAAACAGAGGAUGUCCACAUACUGCUUAGAUUAAAAAGGCCGGCUUGAUUUCUUCUUCCCAAAGAUCACCUCCCAAACAACCGGUGUGAAAGGCCCUUUCUUGUCCAAAUGUUCCCGGAUGGACUUCUCAUCAAUGGCAAAGUUCCUAUCCUGGAAGCUCUUCACAAGCUUCUCACCCUCCUCAACCCCCUUCGACUUGCAUACUGCAUCAACCAAGCCCACAAAAGUUGCAGCAUUCGGCGAGUGCCCAGCCUCAAACAUCUCCACACAGAAACCAACCGCAUCAUCCAGCCUGUUGCCCUUGUACAACCCCUGUAUAAUCAACCAGUAGCUGAAGGCGUUUGGUAUGACCCCAUUGCCCUGCAUCUUCCUGAAGAUCCUCACAGCAUCAUCCAGCUUGGCUGCCUUGCAAAACGCCUCAACAACGGCGGUGUAGAUGACGACCUCUGGGAUGGCGCCCUUCUCACGCAUCAGACCAAACAGCUUCAUAGCCUCCUGCACGAGCCCGCUCUUGCAGAGCCCAUCUAGCAUGGCGACAGCGUUGGGUAUCAGCCCCGUCUCUUUCAUCUUCCGGAAGAUCUCGUCCACGUCCUCCGACUGCUGUGGCUGCCCUGGUGCGUUCUCAGCCUGCUGCCCCUCGGCAGUGUUUCCCGCUGAGGCGGCAGCAGUGGUGGCAUCGCCCAGCUUAAGCUUCUCCAUCAGCGACUCCCCGAUGGCUUUCUGAGGGCUCCCUUCCGGAGGCGGCUGCUGCUUCCGGCCGGCACGUCUGAGGAUGUCAGUAGGGAAGGGGGCGGAGGAGGAGUCGGGGGCUCCCCCUUCGCGUCUCGGCGGUGGGGGUAGGGGGUUGUUCUCCGGGUCAGCCCCGAAGUUGAGGGUGCGGAGGAAGGCCUCGUCCUCUUCCUCAUCCCGGGCCUCGCGGAUCAUCCGGCGACGACGGUCGCCGGUGGAAUAGGGCCGCCGUAUCCCGGAUUCUCCGCCCAGCAGGAGGAAUAGGCGGAGGCCGCGCGAUCUCGCCGGAAUCUGCAGGCUCAUCAUCUCUCUCUCCCUCUCUCGUGGCGGCGGUGGAGCACGGGGGUAGCCGCAGAAGAUGGGGAAUGGGGUUUAUGCUGCGUGUCGGGCCCACAUGUCAUGCGCACAACUCGGAAGGGUUUCGGUUUGAAGGAGGCGAAGGGGAAAAGGGUCUCUGCAAUAUCAUGUGCCUCGCCAAGUCGCCAUGUCCAAGGCCGUGUCACGCAUUCCGUCGAGCACCCUGGCCUCCCUCCUCCCACGCGCCCUGAACCCGCACGUCACCGUCGUUGACCUCGUCACGGCCCACCUCACCGCCGCCGUAGACUCUGAUCCCGAAGAUGAGGCCGCCAAACCCAUCAACCUCGCCGGCCUCCUCCCCUACCUCGGCCACGAGGAACUCACCGCCGUCGUGCUCCGCGCCGGCCACUCCCACCCGCUCCCCACCCUCCGCUUCCUCAUCGCGCUACCGCCGCCGCUGCAACCGUCUCCUCCCCACCUCGCGUUCCUCGCGCAUUCCCUCGCCACCACCCGCUUCUUCUCCCACGCACUCGACGCGCUCUCCCACCUGCUCCGCCUCCACCCAAGCCACGACGCCCUCCCCACGCUCCUCCUCUCCUCCCAGACCGCGCCCCACCCCUCCCUCCCGGGUCUCCUCGUCAAGGCGCUCCUCCGCCACGCCCGCCUCCGCGACGCAUUCCGCGCCGCCCACCGCGCGGCCGCUGCUGGCGCCCCUCCCGACACCGUCGCCUUCAACGCUCUCCUCGCCGCGCUCUCUCGCGCGGGGCGUUUCGAUGAACUAUGGGCCGCACGAGCCGUCAUGGCGCGCGCCGAGGUGCGACCCAACACGCAUACCUUCAACAUCCUUGUCACAGCGCUCUGCCGUGGGGAGGAUGCCGAGCGCGCGCAGGGGUUCUUAGAGGAGCUGGAGGAGCAAGGGUUCGAGCCGGACGUGGUCACCUACAACACCCUCCUUUCUGGUUACUGCCGCAGGGGGAAGCUUCAGGACGCACUACACCUGUUCGGCGUUAUGCCACCCAGGGGUGUUGAGCCGGAUUUGGUGUCACAUACUGUUUUGAUGGACGGGCUGUGCAAGGCCGGGAGGUUGAACGACGCUCGCCGCAUGUUUGACAGGAUGGUGCACAGUGGGGUGAGCCCCGAUGCCAUUGCUUAUAGUGUUCUUAUCGCAGGGUAUUGUAACGAGCAGAGAGUCAGGGAGGCAAGGUUGCUGCUGAUGGAGAUGGUGGGGAGUGGGCUCUCCUCUGAAGGAUUCGCUCUCAGGGCUGUGAUUGAGAGCCAUGUAAAAGUUGGGAAGCUGCUCACUUGCCUGAAUCUUGUGUCACCUUUAAGGAAAUAUGGCGUUGUCAUCCCAUUGGAGAGUUACAAUUGCUUGAUUGGUGCGCUGUGUGAGGACAUGCGCCCUCAUGCUGCCAGGGGUUUGUUCAAGUGGAUGGUAGAGGAUGGGCAUAGUCCUAGCUUGGAGAUGUACAAUAUGAUUCUGGACUGCUUAUGCCAAUGUGACAGUGUGGACGAUGCUUUAGAUGUCAAGGUUGAGAUGAGCUCUAGAGAAGUGAGACCAGACUUUCAUACUUACCAGGCCCUAGUAACCUGCCUUUGUAGGUUGGGGAAGAGCUUGGACGGCAAAUCAGUAAUGGCAGAGAUGAUUGAGUCAGGUCUCCAGCCGAAUGAAGCUAUUUGCACUGCCUUGGUUUGUGGGUUCUGCAAAGAAGGAUAUCUUGAUAGGGCAGAAUUGAUCCUCAAGGCUUUCGUUCUCGAUUUCCAGCUCCACUGCAAUGAGAGCUAUAAUGCUCUAAUGAGAGCUUACUGUAUGACCAGGAGCACCUCAGAGUCGCUAGAAUUGCAGAACAGGAUGUUAGAUUUGGGCUUUGUCCCAAGCAGCGAGACAUGCCGAUCUCUCAUCUAUGGGCUCUCAAGAAGCAUUGCUUAGAUGGUUAACCUGUAUUACUUAGCAUGUGAAUUCCAACCAUCUUAAAUUCGUAAUGAAUGGUCUAUAGAACUGCUUAAGGAUGAUUAAAGCACCGAUGAAUUGAGCCAUGGGUGAUGAGCCAGAACAUUUGUGAAAGGGCUGUGGAAGAUGGAUUGUCUAUCUGAAAGAUGUUUGAUAUGGUAUGGGUUUACGCAAUGCUCCUCUUACAUGGAUUUGCUGUCUGAACUGAAGCAAAUUGUAGUCUGCAUGAUUAAACUGGUGAAUAGUGAGCAGACAUAUGCAUUGAUCAACUCUCUUCUGAUUGCUUAGUGGGCAAUAGCAACGCUGAGACCCAAGAUAUGCUGAUUGAUGGCCAUGUAUACUCCUCACCAUACUGUUUGCUUUGGACUGAAGAAACCUUUGUAAAGCCUUCCAUGAGAACUUUGCCGACUUAUGCCAAAAAGGUUGCGGUAUGUCUGACAGCCGCUGGGAAGAAGAAUGGUAGUCUACAAGAGGGAGCUUGUGUGGGGAAGAAGCAUGGGAAUCUGCUGAGCUGAAUUCCAAUCCCCCGGGAUCCUGGUAACAGUCGCUUUGGCGAACUGCUCUGGGUUUUGACCUUGUGGCACCAUGGAUCAUGGUCUGACGGCAAAGGCACAAAGUUUGACAAUUCGGAAAAUGCAGAAGCUUGUGAACCUGUAUAGCUUUCUCAUCGCAGUUUCUGCAGUUUGCUAGGUCAAGGCCACAACACAAUCUUCCUAUCUUGCACAGUUACCAUGCACACUAGAGAACCAAUGCUUAUAGAAAUAGUGAUCAAGACCGGUAUCUUCGGCAGUUUCUCCAAAUCUGGUUCCCUAUAUGACGGGAUUCUUUGUAAAAGAUUUCUCCUCCAAAUAUCUCUCUCCUCUGGAGCAGAAUCCUCGAAGUUCAUACUGUAUAUUUCACUCUUUUAUAUUUUAUUUUUAUUAAUAGUCUACAGUAAACAAUGUAUUUAUAACACAAUUAAGCAUACUAAUGGUAUCACAGCACGAUCAAAACAUCAGUUAACAUUAUACUCCCUCAUUUUCAGUCUGCCUAUCUCAAAAAUCUCGCACUUUUAUUUUAUAAACCCAUUUGCUUGAAAAAAACGAUAAUUAAUUACAUCUACACCAUUACUUCUAUCUUAAGGUUGGUUGGUUGGUUGGUUUCUUAAUGUGAAACCAACCAACCCAUGAAGGGAAUUGGUCUGCAUACAUACUUCAUUAAUAAUCCCUCCUUCCAUUUGAGAAAUCUUGGAAUGGACUUCUCAAGGACCCAUCAAUUUAGUUUCAACAAAAAUAUUAAGGUAGAAGGUAUGUGUUGAAGGAUAGAAGUGGAUGCUCGAAACAUUACUGAGUGAGAAAAGUUUGUUUUCAACCCUGUACUCGUAGACGAAGUUCGAGAUGAACCUUGACUUCUUAAUCCCUGAAAUCGGGACCCUGACCUUGUUAAUCUCGGUCAAUUAUGACCUUAAUUAAAGUUGUUUGGCACACUAGGAAAAGGAUGAUCCCGGUCGGGAUUUAUACUUUAAACCUUGAUCUUUUAGGCAAAGUCUGAAUCGGACCCUAACCUCUUAAUUCUUGGAUUGCGAAUCCUAACCUUACCAAUCCUGAUUAAUUAAAAUCUUUAUUCCUAGAAAAUCUAUUUUCUGGACUGGUCAGGAUUGCUAAGUAACCACCACUCAUGCAUCUUUGUCUUAUUAGGAGUCACGGUUGUCUUCUUCGACGUCACUGACCUAUGACAUGACCAGCCCAUGUGGUCAUCCAAGCUAUUCGAUCUGCACAACACGGUGAUAUGAUGAUGGCAAGAGAUCGUCACAUUGUAAAAAUUAUCUUCACAUGUGCUAAGUCGAGAAUGUAUCAAGCUAAACAGACAAACAUAGUAAGCCCAUCGUCAACAUAGACGCAAAUCACGAGAAUUUGUAAGCUUUCUGGGAUUAAUGGUCUUAAUUAAUCGGGAUCAAUAAGUUCAGGGUUCGAAAUCCAUGGAUUGGAAUUUGUUAAGGUUCGAUUCAGACUUUGUCUUUACUUGAGUGGAGGUCAGAAGCUGUGAGCUUUUUUGUUUGCACACACCAGAAGGUGUGAGUUAAGUCAUUUGACGAUGUCAGCAGGCAUACACGCUUGGACUUGGGUUUGGCUGAAUGCAGGAAGGAAGGAAUCUGCGAUCAAACUAAAUCGUCGUAAAAAGAUCGUACGUAGAACGUCGUAUGUAGAGCAGUUUCAUUUUUUUUAAUCCGUAGCCACGCAGUGGUGUGGUGCUGGUAGCUAAAGAACGAUCGAGUGCAUGCUCAAAACGCGAAUUCAAAUCCGUGACAUGGCUGGCUAUAUUCAGAAAUCCUGAUGACGCGAAUUCCAAUCCUUGACAUGGCUAGCCAUCCGGAAAUCCUGAUAAUGCGUGUCAUUGUCCGGUACACGCCCUCACGUGCAGCGGACCAGCGGUGCAGGUAUACGGAUUCCGAGUUCGAAUCGUGAACCCAAGUCCGUGGGUGAGUCCGACUCGAACUAGCAGUAGAGCAAAGGUCUUUCGCGUUCGGCCGAGCCUAUAUAUAUGAGGACGCAGUAACAAACUGGUCGCCCCACCACGCACCAAGGCUUCACGCAUUUUCUCGUACAGAGGAGAGCGCACAAGAGGUUGCCCUAAUUCACUAGUUCCCGGCCGGCCGGCCGCCUUGAUCAAGAAGACCCGGGACUGCCACAUGGGGUACGUCGUCAACCCGUUCGCGUGCGUGGGCCUCGGCGGCGGCAACAAGUCGGGCAGCAAGCGCGCCGCGAAGAAGAAGAAAGCGGAUGAUGAUCAUCCUGCAGCACCGGCGCCGGUCGUCGUCGACCAGAGCGCGGCCGCGGCCGCUGCGUCGCCGCCAGUCGGUAAGACGAAAGCAAGAGGCAAGAAACGUGGUGGCCGCGGGGGCGAGGGAGAAGCUGCUGCGGCGCGCGGUUGUGGUUGGUCCGCCGCAUCGGCCGCUGUAUAGCUACAACACCGACGUCCUCGCCAGUACCAUGUACAUCUACGGCAGCGUCGCCGGGAUCAUGUGUUAAGGAGUAGUUAACUUUGGGACACAGACUAGCUCUAGUUGAUUGUACCCCAUCAAAGUCCAUGACCCUUAGUCGUACUCGGCUAGCUGCUUGCCUUUUGCUGCUGGCGCUAGCUAGUUCACUUGUAUGUGCAACGUGUAAUUUUGACUAUUGUGAAUCUCAUGAAAUUAGCAAGAAAAAUUGCAUAUAAGGUUCCAUGUAUGUCACAAAGGUAAAAUGUGAAAUUAACCAGUAAUAAAGUUUACUUGUAUGUACAACGUGUAUUUUAGUUUUGAUGAUUGUGAAUUGUGUACAACGGCGCGGAGCUGAUCUCACCAUACCUAGCCGCCGGAUGUCUUCCGACGUGCCACACACGUGAAGGAGUUCAUAAAGGUAGACGAUUCGAUGGAUUUACUGAAUAAAUGGAGGCUAGAAGGGGUUCUACCAAUGAUUUUGAUAUAACGCUUUCUGGAAAUGAAGGCAAAAGCUUUGCCUAUUUUAUCGAUUAAUUAAGCAGAGUAACAAGGAGAACAAUUAAAGGCACUACACGCGGGCACUAUACACACGUUUUCAUAGCGUACGUGAUUUGAUAUAGUAGAGGUUAAUACUUUUACUAUAAUUUGGUCAAAAUUCAGAAGUUUGAUAGCCAACAAAACUCAUACGCAUAUAGUUUGAAAAGGAAGGAGUAUGUCGUUGAAGCUUUUUAGCGACCACGUUAUGGAACACCAUCAAAGAAGGAUUCGGCUCAAUUUAUGGUUGUUUCUUAAAUUAUACCAUAAUCUAUAGCCAAAAAAUAAUCACGGGAUCAAGAAAAUUAAAAACUGACUAAAAGUAUCAUAAUCUAGCAAAGAGCAAUCUUAUAUGAGACAACACUGCAUGAGCCGCAUAACUAAAGCGGCCAAGCAGGUGGCUGUUUAGUAUUUUUUUUGCAGCUUAAACAAAUCCAUGCCAGUCACACCCUACCACUUAAACAAAAUUACAAGGAAACUGCCGCUCCGACACCGGCCCGAGGGCAUGUACAAUGGUUGAUAAGACGGCCUUAUCUUAGGUGUUCCACGCCAUUUAGAAAAAACAACAAAACAUGUUGUACAAUGAGUUAUCUCUUAGUGUUAUAUCUUAGAAUUAAUGCUUAGAUGAAUAAAAUUAACUAAAUAAAUGCUAAGAAAAGGCAAAAUCUAGUACAAUGAGAAAUUUGCCUUAUCAUUCUUGUGAAGAGAUCAUCUCUUAGUUAAGAGAAUGCUUGUGCAUUUUCUUCAUUUCUCUCUCUUCCACGUCAGAUUUUAUCCUAUAUGGCAUCGCUAAGAAAAGGCUGACGUCACCCCAUUAUACACGCCCUUAAUGAAUACACAUUGUAUUGGAUGUAAUAGAUUUUUUUUUCAAAAAGAGAAGGAUCUCCGGCUUCUGCACCUUUUUUAUUGCGAAGUUCACAAGAUCAUGCAAAUCACUUACCAGAGGUCGUGGAUAGAAAAAUGAGACAGCAAAUAUCAAACAUAUUGAGUCUAUACAUUUAGCAAUCGACUGGUACACCACCAGCCAGCCCGGUCGAAAAUAUCCCGAGAGACCAUUUUCAAACGCAUCCAAUAUCUGAAGAUUCCCGCUGAUGCACAGGGAGCAAAAAAGAUCAUAGGAGAAUCCAGGGCUUUGGAUGCAAUAGAUGGAGAAGGAGUUCGAUAAAUGUGACGAGAACGAGGACUAUAUGUCAGGAGAGAUUGCAGGUACCGUACCAUUGCAACCUUGCAAGUAGCCUCAUGUUCACUUGAUGGGGUCAAUAUGAAACACCUUUCGUGAUGCAAUUGAGAGAAGAAUAACUUUCUUUGUUAUGCAAUUGCUAACUCUAUAAAUGUAAGAUAUGUCUCAACAAGUGAUGUCUUUUUGUGAAUGUCUACUACUAGACAUGUAGUGAACGUGUACGACUUCCGAUGACUUUUGUUAGUUCCAUCAAUUUUGUAUAAGGAAUCAAUCAUUUUGUUCAAUGCAUCGUUAUUUAUGGUCUACUAGCCAAAAUUCAUCUAACUAGAAAAAAAAUACACAUACAUUUUCAUGGUAUGAGAAAAAAGAAGUUACUUACAUUCUCAAGACACACCAAUAUGAGUUGAAUGGUAUUAUCAAUUUCUUAGCAAGGGUAUUUCAGACAUUUGAUUCCACAGCCACAGCUGAACAGACAGUUUGCUGAACAGCUUUACAGGUUGCCCAAGGCAGACAACCCAGAGCUUUUUUUUUUUUGAGAACCUCACAACUGCUCACAAACUAACCAAAUGGUGCAUAAGAGCAAAGCAAGUAGCAAACUUGUCUGUGAAGUUGACCGGUUUAUAGAACUGAUUGUUAAUAUCACUUCACUUAUUAUAAGUUGACCAAUUUGAUUGUUGUAUUUCUAAAAAAGAAAAGAAAUAUGAUUAUCAUAUGACAGCUUUUUUUAAAAGAAUAUUAUCAUAUGACAGCUAUAUAUGAUCUCAUACAUCACCACAGCUACAAAUUACUCGAAGAAUCUUUUGUUGUGACAGGAUUACUCGAAGCCUAGUUAAUUACCAGAAUCAUUACGAAAACUAGCAGGAUUUCGUUUUGCCACGUUCGUACUAAAAAGACGAGUAUACCGGCCAAAUAUCCAACAGGCCAAGGAAGGGCCUAGGCUCCACUGCAAAACGCCGCCCCAGCGAAAGAGCAGAGAAACUAGGCCCUCGCUUCCUCGCUGGACCAGAUGGAAGGCGGCGGCGGCCGCCGCGGCGCCGGUGCCGGCAGACGCGUGAAGGUGGUGGGGCAAGUAGAGCGGGUGGACGGGCGGUCGCUGACCUACCCGGAAUUCGUCGAGCGCUUCAUGAAGCCAAACCUUCCCGUCGUCCUCACGGGCCUCACCUCCUUCUGGCGAUCCUGCGAGGACUGGACACUUGCCACUCCCGACGACCGCUGCCGCCCCAACCUCGCCUUCUUCGCCCAAAACUUCCCCUCCCCCCUUGUUCAGGUACCCGCUACCGGCUUCUCCCUCCUCAUCCUCGACGCAUCGUCACACUAGCUUAGAUGAAUAAUUUUAUGAUUAGCAGCGUACGUGUUGGUUUCGCAGGUUGCCGACUGUUCCUCCAGGGAGUUCACUGACCAGAAGCGGCUCGAGAUGUCCAUGCAAGAAUUUGUGGACCACUGGGUUGGCAAAUUUUGCAAUGGUUCAACCAACGGUGAUUCUGAAGGUUCCCUGCUUUACCUGAAGGAUUGGCAUUUUGUUAAGGUCUGUCCUGAUUCCAGAGUACGCUCUUUUCUCGACCUUACUAUUAAAGAUAUGGUAUUGCAGGAGAGAUUAGUAGUACUAAUCACGUUUCUACAAAAUCGACCCACUGUUUUGUAACAUAUUUUCUGUACUUUCAGUUGAAGAUGUAACGUUGGCAGUAUGAUAAACUGAGAUUUUUAGUGUUAUUUAUUUUGGUUUCCAGUGAUCAAGAGUCAUAGCCAGUGCAACACUUGUCAGAUUUAUGUUUACUAAAUUUAUUCUUUUGCUACAACAUGGAACAUUGUUUUCAAACACAUGCUAUUUGAUAAUUUGUAUAUCAAAUUGUCACCCGUUUGGUAAUUGUUUAGACUUGACUGUGAUGCAUUUUACUUUUUGGAUGAUAUGUGCGUAUGGCUCCUGAAGAGUGAGCUCCAACCCUCUGCUAUCUCAAACAUUUGAAUGCAUCUUUUCAAGCUGAUAUCUCAUCUCCUGCUCAAUGUGGUUGUCAUUACAUUUUUGUCUUGAUCUUUCAGGAGUACCCUGAUUAUGUUGCAUACACCACACCAACAUUCUUUGUUGAUGAUUGGCUCAACAUGUAUCUUGACAGUCAUCCCAUGCAUAGAGAUCCUGACAUUGCCAAUCAUAAGAAUGAAAUAAACUGUGCUGACUAUCGUUUUGUUUACAUGGGAGCAAAAGGUAACUUCUGAUUGAACAUCUGCCUUUAUGUUCUAUUUAGCUUCUGCUUAUGUGUUUUUACAGCCUUUGCAUUAUGUGUUUCUGCAAGUCCCCAUAUGUUACACGUUCAAUGAGAUUGCUCGUAAUUAAUUAAUCUGAUCUUUAGGGACUUGGACUCCUCUUCAUGCUGAUGUUUUUAGGUCAUACAGCUGGUCGGCAAAUGUGUGUGGGAGAAAACUAUGGCUGUUUCUACCGCCAUCACAAAGUCAUCGUAUUUUUGAUAGGUACUUUGAUGUUGGAUACUCCUUAUGCAUUAUAUUCUUUAGGACUUCUACGGCAUGGAAUGUAGCAUCAGACAAGAACAGAAUACGUAACCUUUAUGAGACUAUAUGAGCUGCCAAUAAGAGGAAAAUCGAUUCACAUUGUGCUCUCUUCUCCUUGAUUCUUUUCUUUUUUGCAAGGUGCUCUCUGUUCGUCAUUAACUGGAAAGUUAGAGACACUAGUGAGUCCGAUUGCUAUUUUGAUAUGUUCUUUGAUGCUCCAUAGGGCAGGCACCUCGCUUUGUUAUUUCAGAGGUUGAGUUGACUCUGCUUAGAAAUUUGUUUGCUUAUUUUUCAUUCAGUUACUUAUGCUUGCUCUUACUAGUGUAUCUUGUUUUCACGAAAAUCUUAAAUUAAGGCUAAACUUGGGCAGCUUAUUUUGCAAAUGAAAUGGGAUGUACUCUUAGGACUUCAUUUUUGUUUUACUGAAAACUGUAGGUGAGGCUCCAGCAGUAAAUGAAACAUAAUUACAAGUAGGGGAAUUAAUCGAGCCAGGCCUCAAGUGGAGCAUCAAACUCCUCCUUUAAUCUAAAAUAACGCAGGAAUAUAUCCUUCUUGAAAAGCAAAAGCCGAGAGCCUAUACUAGGGGUCACAUUGUCGAAAAUCUUCCCAUUUCGCUCCUUCCAGAGAUGCCAGGCUGCCAUGACGAGAACCUCCAUGAAGAAGGGCUCAUUGAAGUUUGAUUUCACGCCAGCAACUCAGAGCUCCACAUCAUUGUCAGCUAUUAAGGGAAUACCAUUGCGGGACCAGCAAGCUUUGCUGAAUGAGCAGUCCCAGACGAACUUUACAUUCAUUUAAAGUCACAACUUCCUGUUGCAGUAUAACAGUCUCUGCUAGGUCAUCCAAAAGGAUGUUUAGUUCUAAAUCAUACGACCUAAAUGUUCAGAAAUAACUUAUGCUAUGUUAAUUUCCAGAUUACAUGACAAUUGUCUUGUGUUCUGAUCUAUGAAUGAAUUCUUCUUGGUCUAUCUGUGUCCUCUUUGAGCACAAGGCAAAUAUGAUGUAACUUGUUAGUACGAUUUGUUUCUAAGUGAUUCCUUAUGCCAAUUGGGGUAACUUUCGCAUUUGACCCAAGGGAGGAUCAAAUCAGAAUUGCACCUUUUGAUGGAGCUUUUUUUCUCUCUUUAAAUGCACAAGGCAACAAUUUGUUGUUUCUUGUUAAGCGAUUUCCGUAUGCCAAUUGAUGUUACCUUAGCAGUUGAUCUAUUUUUUGUUUAUUCAACUCUGUGCUGUCUAAUUUUCUGCCGUGGAAAAUUUUCUGCUGUUACUUAAUCAGUGAUUUGUAGGAACCUACGAUCAUCGGUCUAUGACAUAAAUGAUGAUGUUUCUGGAAAGCAGUUUCCUGAAUUCAAUAAGGUACUGCAUCCCUCCACCCUGCCCCACACACCACCUCCCUCCCUCCUUAUAUGCACAAUACUCAUUUUACUAUCAUUCUUUUGCAGACUGAAUGGCUAGAGUGCAUACAAGAGCAGAAUGAAAUUAUUUUUGUGCCCAGUGGGUGGUACCACCAAGUCCAUAAUCUAGUAAGUGUUUCCAUCUCCACUACAUGUUUAUGCAUUUAUUGUUUGAACAUUAAGGUUCAAUGUUAGCAUGUUACAGUGGGUAGAUAUUAUGUAUUUGAUCAAAUAUGUAUGGCAAAUGAGAAUCACCUUUAAGUAUAUGAGAAUGAGAAGUGGCAAUCCUGAUCAUUGGAUCAGAUCUUGGUUGUUAAGAUUAAACAUUAAAAGCAACUGAUAUCUUUUGAGUAGUUAUAUUGUACAAUUAGUCUCACACCCUUCAAGUUAUCAAGUGAAUCAUGAUGUGAUCAAUCUGUCUUCGUAUAUACCAUCUUAGUUUGAUCCAACACUUGAGAAUUUCUGAUUCUCCUAUUUUAAGUGCGGUUUCUAGUUUCUACUAGAUGCACCCUGCACACAACUGAUCGGAUGCUAUUUUUCCUUGUUCUAGUUUGAGCCAUUGUAGUUAACUACUACCGAGCUGAAAUAUUAUAUGGCUGAAUCUCUGUGCAUCAAUUCAUCAUUGAAGCGAGUAUUCUUAGCUUCUAUCACAUUUCAGAGCUUCAAUCAUAUUUAUCUUCCCUGUGACAUGAAAAUGGUGAAUGAAUUACCACUCACAAGUCACAACCUGAACAACUUUUUGCUCCGAUUAACUAAAUUACGGGCAUCAUGUUAGAAGCACGUACUCACCCUGAACAACCUAUCAAAUAUCAAUGAAGACACUCAUGUCUGUCUAUUCUUACACCUUCCUGUUUAACAUUCUUCUAAACGUUUUCUAAUUGACAUUGAUAAGCAGCAAGCUGCUGAUGUCCUGUUCUUUUUUCCUUGUUUACCACAGGAGGAUACUAUAUCUAUCAACCAUAAUUGGUUCAAUGCAUACAACCUUCAUUGGGUGGUCAGUACUGAGUACACGUAUUUAUAGCAACUUUAUUUUGACGACUUAACAUUAAAUUCUUGGUACAUUGUACAAAUUCAGUGGAACUUGCUGCAUGAAGACUACAAAGUUGCAAAAGAAUAUAUUGAAGACAUCCGCGAUAUAUGUGACGAUUUUGAGGGGCUUUGUCAACGCAACUUGGCAGCAAAUACAGGUAGCAUUUGGUCUGUUGAUUAACCACAUGAACAAUGAAAUCACAUAUUUAUCUUCUCUGAUUUUCUCUCUGCUAACAUCCAGUUGUUUUCUCUUUUCAGGCAUGAACUUCUAUGAUUUCUUCAUUUUUAUAACACGGUUUGUUUUAGCCAAUGUAAUUGAGCUUUACCAUAUCCAAAAGCCAGAAGAUGCCAAAUUUAAUUCAUCAGAAACCACUCACCCUUUUGUGUAUAACCUUAUGUCAAUUCGAGAUGUUGCAUCUGAAAUGAUAUCUACAGAGGCUUUCAGUACUGAGAACCUUUGUAUUAUAUCAAAAGAAAACAGGAGUGCUGUCUCAGAUGUUACAAAAAUAUUAGAAGAAUAUGGUUUUAGAAGGCUAUGGAUGUCAUUGUCAGAGGCAUAUGAACACAUUAGCAGGGGGCAAAGAAAUUGUCAUGAAAUCAGGUAUUUAAAUCAGAAAGGCUGUCUGUCAGUGGCCUGCUUGAAAUCUGAUUGUACUGUUGUUGAUCACAUUACUUCUUUGGUAUGUGAAAUUCAUGGACCUGAGGAUCUGGUGAGGCUAAUUGAUACUGCUCUAUAUGAUGGUUAGUUGUAAGCGCAUAAUGGAUGUGUAAACUUGCUUGAAGUACUGUACCACUGUUUGAUUUUCAUAGAUUGUCCAAUUUGGAAGGACACUAUGCAUGGUAUUCCCAUCAGUUACCAAAAUCAUGGUUCUCAUUGGUGCUAUAACUGACCAAUGUUGAAGUAUACUUAUUUUACUUGUGCAUAAAAGGGAAGUCAAAAAUACUGUACCAUUUGAUAGCAGUCAUAUUGUGGGAAUCUUGCAAUGAACAACAAGAUGAUAGUUAACGUGGAUGGACCAAGUGACACUGCUUAACCAUUCAGAUGAUAGCUUAAAAUUCUCACUAUGGUCAACCGGUCACUGAUGGUAAGGGCACAUACGACAGAAACAAGAACCUUUUUUUAUCAUGUUUGGUAUGGAUGAUUUUUCAUUUGCACUAAAAGUGAGAUCUUUUGUUUGCUGUUUUUCCUCCUACAAAACAGGUAAAAUUCCUGCUAAAAUAUGUCUGGAAUAAUCUACUGGACAUACCUUAAGAGGCCAUAAUGAUUGAUGCAGAUAGUAGCGUUGGGUGUAUUUCUUGUAGAUUAGUAUGCUAUAAAGAGUAAUCCGAUGGAGGCUGAGAAAAAAUUAUGAUCUCUACAUUUGCCCGCUUUCUCAUUUCCUGUCUAAUUUUUCAUAUGUACAACUCGUAGUCACAAAAGAAUUGACCUUGUAGGGCACACAUGAAAAUGAUACAUGUAAAUUUGUCAUCUAAACUUUGCUAAUCUGCAUCUUUAUUCUCCUGACCGACGUGAAUGGGGUUGUAAACCUGCUAGACCCAGUCUAUUAUAUAGACACGCAGGACAGAAUGAGUACGUCUUGUAAAUAUAGGUCGUUUCAUAUUUGAUUGGAAUGUUGCUCUUGGCUCGAUCUGCCUGCUGUACCAGGAAGAAACCUUGUCAGCGGGACGGCUGAUUGCACCGGGUGCGCAGCAAAUUAUUGCCUGGCAGAUCCAUCUAGGGACUAAGUAGCAGCAGCAGCAGCAACGGGAGGAGAAAGAAACAUACAAGCAAGCAAACAAACGACCACAAGAGCAGCAUCCAGUUCCAGUCUGCUUGUUUUUGUCUGCACUGUGUGCCAACUGCUACUCAUGUCUCCUCUUUGGACUGCCGUCCUGCUCAGCUUUACGCUGCGGCAUUUAUGCCUUUGUCCGCUAGAUUGUUAACCAGUACUGCAGGAUCCUGUAUAUCGUCCAAGCUGUUAAAUGUUUAUGUACCGUGUGUCCAAUGAAAACCAUCUCUAACUACAUAAAAAUAAUUGGAGAAAAUUCAUAAGAAAGUUGCAUAUGCUAGGGAAGUGGUGUUUAACAUAUGUGCACAAUUUCAAGUUCAAACUUAAUUGUGUUUAGGAGCAAUAUAAAAACAACAUAUAAUGAUAUUUCACUGUUUCAUACUAUUCAUUUGCACAUCUCUCAUUUUAAUUCUUUUCAUACGUAAUUAAGUUUGGACUUGAAAUUUUGCACGUUUGUAGAAUAUUACACGUCCAACACAUGCUACAUGGUUUGUAUAAAGUUUGCAUCAUAAGAUGGCUUUUACUUGAUAUUUUACCAAUGUCUGUGACACGAUAACAUUUAGACUUGUGUCAAGAAGCAGAGGAUCGUACGAACAUCAAAGUAUAUAUAUUGCACACACAUUGCAAGUGGUUCUCACUCGUCGGAGGUCUCCGACAUUAAUUCUUUGCCGUCCCGUCGCAGCUAGCUGACUCGUAGUUGCUGUCUGCGUGGAUCUCCACUCUUGUGUGCUUUCGGUGGCCAUGUUUUCUCCUGGAGCGAUGGUAGCAGAGACUAGAGACUUGUGUGGUAAACCACCGGAUGAUGACCUACCAGCGAACGGGCCGGGUCGUGUGGUCCAAGUGGGAGGCUGGAAAAAACGGAUGUGAUGAAUCGGUCUGUAUGUAGAUGCUUGUGCUUUACUGCAAUGCAACAUGGACGGAAACUUCAACGUCAAGAAAGUGGGACAAGUAAUACGAUGGGGGCCAAAAAGAGAUCAAGUUUAUAGCGGAUACUAUACGGAUUUAGCGUACUGAUUCCCAUCAUACCCAUCGUCUGCCGCAAUCGAUUUGUUUCCCGAUGGAGGUGUGCGUGGUAUCUUAACCCUGAUUGCUUCUUGCUUCAAAUGUUGGUGCGGGGAUCUCUAACAGAUCGAUGCAUGCGCCAGGGGCCAGCAUUGCUUGGCGUUGAAGCGUGAUCCAUGUGUGUUCUUUUCCCCAAAACGACGUUCUUUCCUUUUUUCUGUUCCUAUUAACUAACCGGUAGAGUCAGACACAAGGAAGAACACGAGUAAAUAUAACUGCGAGGCCAUGACAUGGUAAUAAUAAACAAUUGAACACGAGUAUGCGGUAACAAAAAAGAAGAAGAAGAAUCGAGUGAUGAUGCAUGCAUGUAUGUACUGCUACUGACUUGACUGGCUUUCCUACAUUGUUGAGAACCACUUUUACAACGAUCGAUCCACUUGGCUAAGCUAGUUUACACGGAUUCCCUUUUGAGAAUUGGACCUUUAAAUUUGGAAAAGAAACAAAUUAUGAAAAAAAAGAUCGACCAGCAAACGCUGAUACAUCCUUCAAUUCCGAAAAAGAAAAGUAAAAUUGAAUAAAAAAGAGACAGUAUCAUCCUCCUCCUUGGCUUCGAUGACCGAUCCAUCAAUUUCUCUGGCUUUUAGCUUAGCUGAGCUAGACGCACCUGACGUUCCUCCCCGGUCCACCGUAGUAGAAGUAGUUCCCCCAGACGGCAUUGACCCCGCCCUGGAUGUCAUAGCAGGCCGGGUGAUCAGCGGUGACAUGGAACGUGGUGAGCGGGAUCAAGCUAUUAUCCCAGUCCACGACCUCCAGGUUCCUGAAGUAGGAGGAGCGGCCGAAGCCUUCCCCGGGGAAAUGGCCGCUCCCCAUCUGCGUGGCCGUGUGGGAUCCCUCGGCGCGGGUGUCCACCACCUCGCCCCCGAACUGCACCAUGCUGGCGUGCGACGCCAGGUGGCUGAAGAGCACCGACGGCCAGUAACCCACCAGCUCCCCGUUCCCGAACUCCAGCCACCAGUUGCCGUGGUUCGGGUCUUUCCAGAUGAGCAGGCUGAUGUCGAAUUGGCCUCCUUUGUAGCCUGAGGUUGGGGAGAUGGCCGCGCCCAUGGCGAUCCGGCUGUUGGUCUGCACGAAGCCGGAACAGAGCAGGUUGUAGCACCCCGUCGUCUGGUACGCGUCCGUCUGCAUGAAUUGUUUCAGAACAUCACUACUAAUCUCGAUUAAGGCUCUUGAUUUGAUUUUCAGUUCAGUCAAACCGAGCUUACCGUCCAGUAAGUGAAGAACCUGGGCGAGUUGUCCCCAUACAGCUGCGGGCUCACCUGUCGGACAGACAGACAGAGAAGCAAGCAUGACAGCAACUGUUAACUGCAUUGUCCCGAAAAACUGAGACCAGAGAGGGGAACGAACGGAACGGAAUGGGCCAAAUGGUAACGUAGGUACCUGCCAUCCGGCUUCGAUGGUGUUGAGGUCGUUGCCGAAGGAGCCGGCGAUGACCCAGAUCUGCGACAGGCUGAACUCAGAGGGGGUGCUCACCUUGGGCGCCCACACGUUGAUGCUCGCCCGCGCGCCGUAGUACUCCUCGCCGGCAACGUACCCCACCGCGUGCUGCAACCACCAAGACUUACCACGAUUAACUCUUUGCCAACACUCCAACGUACACUAAUGAUGUCGCAUCAAUCAAUCUGCACCCAACAGUACUAACUAGAGCUACAGGGAUUGAAUGUAGAUGCAGGAGCCAGGAGGUGACAGUCGGAUCAAUGCUCCCUGCGGAUGUUAGCUCGGAGCAGUAAAAGCGAACAAAGUGACAAAGCCAAUCAAUUCCAGUCAAAUCCACGAGGUUAAAAGCUGUGCGCUGAUGCACGGCGUCCUUGGAAUGAAUGGCAUCAUGGCACUGCUGGAUUUGACGUUUCUAUCCGACCGAUGACGCGCCUCUCUUUUCAGACGCGGGGUGUUCCGUUUCAUGACAACAAACACCAGUGCGAAAGAAACCGGUUUCACCCACCGAUAGCUUGACAUUCUUGCUUGACUGAAUUCUAGAUUUCUAGCCGUGCUCACAAAAUGACGAUGCUAAUGCCCGAAUUAAUGGGGGAUAAUAGGAUAGACGAGAGGAAUGAAGAAUAGUUUUACGGACCUCGUGGCCGCCGGCGACGGUGUCGCGCCGUAUCCUGGCCGUGGGCACCCUGCCGAACCUCCUCACGGAGCUGGCCCGGAGGACGUCCGCCUCCUUCACUCUCCGCACAGGGACGGACCCCUCCUGGCACGUCGCGCCGGACGCCGCCCACAGCUGCGCGCCGGCGUCCGCCGUGUCAUUGGGCCGGCGGCGGUGCCCCUUGGGCCGCGCCGGCGGACCCUGCAAGAAUCCAUCCAAGCAGAGGCACUUGGUUAAUUACACAUUUCCCUUCGGUUUCAAGACAAUGUGCGCGCGUGAAGGCCUGAAGAAUCUGGAAAUGCAUUACGUACGUACCAGUGGCCUCUGGCCGCGCAGCCUCGGGUGGUCGAAGGCCGGCUGCAGGUGCGCCGGCACGCAGUCGAUCAGGUCGCCGUCGGGGCUCUGCAGCCAUCAACCGUUAAUCUCUUUCAGCCACACGCACGAGCACGACGGACACGAUCACCGAACCACAACAAAGACUGAAGAAUUAAACAUGCCUGAAACGUCCGGAGAGACGGCUUGUUGAGCCUCUUGAGGAGCGCCUGGACCCGCCUGUACUUCCGGAGCUCGUGUCCCGGCCGGAACGUCACGUUCGCCGCCGCCGCCGCCUCACAGUUGCCAAGAAGGGCGACAUGAAGCAGCAGGAACAGGACAAUGGCGGCUGUAGCCAUCAGUGGGGGAUUAUUCUGGGCCUGCACGGCGGCGUAUUCUCGCUGCUGCGCCGGUGCCAGGAAUACAUUGGCUGGCUGGCUGGCUGGCUGGCUGGUGGCCUGCCGCGCUUGCUUGCUUCAGAGUUGGGACUGCCAGUAUUCGGCCACAAAAUUAAACCUGUCCACUCCACUAGCACUGCCACUGGCAGUGGCACAGUUCAGCUCAGCUUUGAGCGAAGCGAGCGCGCUCUCCUUUCCUUUGCACGCAAUCCCUCCCGGCCGGCUUUUUUCCCAAAGAAGAAGAAGAUGGAGGAGAAGAAGCACUCGUCCUACCUCUACGCAAAGAUCUCUCCCUCCAAGGCCCUGCAAGGUGAGUAGCACACGGAGCUAUAUAUCCAUCGCUGGCUACUAGGCGCCGAUUGCCCCUGCUUUGCUUAAGGUUAGGAGGGAUUAGAGAGGGAGCGGGCAGAGAUCGAGGGAGGCCAGGCAGGGCCAGUGGUGUUGGGAUUAACUGGGGGGCCGGGCCGACAAAGCAUGAGGCUUUGCAGCAUGAGGCAAUUGAGUUGCGAGGCGGGGGAAGAAUAAUUUACUUGGGGCCGGCAGGGGGGUUUGCUUUUGGGAAAGGCAGGGGGCGCCCUGCCCAAGUGGAGUGGCGCCAUGCAAUGGAGUGCUGCUAGCUGCGUUUGGGCUCCGUAAUGAGUAGCACCAGCGAGCAGAGUCCCCGGCGGAUGUGUUGUGUUUGCAAGGAAAGCGGCGUUGCGCUGGACUGGACGAAAUUCAUGCCAUGUGUUCCGCUUUCACGUAAAGCAGUACGUGUGUAGAGCAUACGGGAUGAGUAUGUAUGCUAAAGAGGCGUACAUGCGUCUUUGAGUAUUUUGCGUCCGUGUUUUCCUUUCAUUUUGACCGGUGAUAGAUUGACAACGAUGUGUUCGCAUUUGGAUACCCAUGAGGUUACCCUUUUGGCCUCCACGUCAUAGGAUGGACCAUGAAUGUACUAGUACGAAUUUCGGGCCACACGCCAAAAUAUAGUGUGUGACAGGCCUCUUAAAAAAAACAUGCAAAACCGUGGCCACUCCCCAAAUUGGAAUAUAAAUCUCUAGGCAAUUAACUUCAACUUCAUAGCUUAUGUCAUUCUAAAGGUGUGUUGUUUGUAAUGUAACCAAAAAUCGGGUAGCUAGAUUAUUGGCGGCGACCUUUUGCUUGUGCAUGACUCCGCCAAUUUUGAAAUAAAAAAUAAAAUGAAGUUGGCUAAAGAAGAUUUGCAUUAUAAUAUUCCGUCGUGCUCUACAAGCACGGCAAAAUGUUGAUAUAGCAUACUUUGACAACAAUCAAAACAUACUAUAAAGACCAUGACAUCAACCAUUUGAUACGUAAGAAUGAGUCUAACAAACGGCAUCCCGUGUCGUUCAUGUGGCUCACCACUGUUGACUCCUAUCUCUGUCGGUGCCGUGAGCCGCCUGCCUCCAAAGGAGAUGGGUGGCCUCUUGAUGGUUUCCAUCCCAACCGUUUCUCAGUUGCGCGGGUGUGUGUGGCAGUGUAGGUCCUCCAACGCAGGGUCGGACUUCUGUUGGCUUUUCGAUCCAUUUGUCCCAUCAUGAGGUGUUGCCGGACUGCACGGCAAUCGAGCAGGGCACACUGUCCCGAUCUAGAUUAGGCGAAGGGGUUGCUCGAUGUAGCGUAGUUUCCUCGUGUCAGAUCCAACAAUAUUUGUUCCUGAGUAAUGUACAACAGUGGAUCUAAGAUGGUAGCACACAAGAUAAAGAUUUAGACAGGUUUCAGGCCCUCGGGCUCGAGGCAAUAUCCAACUCAUGUGUUUGGUGGUUGUAUUGAUCUUGCCUCAAAGUGCUAGCGCGAUACGAGAGACCAAAUCUCUCGUGGUCGCUAUGAACUGUGUGGAAUGUAUAGUACGAACGGGUAAAGUUACUAAGUUCUCAAGUCAGUUACAAAGAAAAGAUUCCCUAUACAAAAGACUUGUGUGACCCUAAAAUAUCAGGACCUUUCUUGAUUAGGGAAAGGGGUGGCUCGAUGUAGCGUAGUUUCCUGGUGUCAGAUUCAACAAUAUUUGUUCCUAGGUAGUGUAUGGAAGUGGAUCUAAGAUGGUAGCACACGAGACAAAGAUUUAGACAGGUUCAGCCCUUGAGAUCAAGGCAAUACCCUACUCAUAUGUUUGGUGGUUGUAUUGAUCUUGCCUCAAAGUGCUCGAGCGAUACGAGAGAGCGGAUCUCUCAAGGUCGCUAUGAACUGUGCAGAAUGUAUAAUACGGCCGGGUUAGGGUUACAAAGUUACAAAGUUCUCAAGUCAGUUACAAAGAAAAGAUUUCUUAUACAAAAGAUUUGUGUGCCCCUAAAACAUCAGGAGCUUUUCCUCACUCCUCCAAGUCAUUGUGGCCCCCUGGGUUGAGGUCGAACUCCUUCGAGAAGGUUAGACCCACCCUAUGGUUGUUGGGCCGAGUCGGUCUGCGCUGACCGUACCUGGGUGCCAUGACAUCGUCACCUGGUAUUGCUAGACGAUAAUGGUGAGCAAUGGUGGUGCUAGUGGCAGGAUGCAAGGUGUGUGACUGCGGUAGUCAACGGGUUAUGGCACCUGCUUUUCACGGCAUCCAGUCUAGGCUUCUAGUGUCGGAGGCUAGGUCCGUGAUAAUUUUGAGGUGUGUCGGCCUUUGUGGAUGGCUAGAUACGGUUUUUCCACAAGCGAUGAGCUCUAUGGAAAGAUGCAUCCUAACCCGUGAAAGAUGACUUUUGAGUGCGUAUUGUGACUUGUGCAGCAAUUACGUACGUGACAAGUGGAACUGCGCCAUGACAUUUCCUUUUUCAUAGACCUUUUGGGUUUGUCUUUAAUGGUCGAAGUGACUAUUGCCGAUGAUGAUGCCACCGUGGCAGAUUCCCUAGGUGCCUCUUGCAGCACGAUGGUGGCGGUUCAUCGUGAACGGUGGUGUCAAGUUUAGCAUUGGCUGGUCUUGUUUCGUGUGACUAUUGCAGUGAUUGCUAUGCUGAUUGUCAUUUGCAGUAAGUUGAAGUCGAUAUCUUUGGAGUGAUGGGUGAUGACAAUGACAUUUACAUGUAAUCUCGACGAUGGUCUUCUUCCAGCUAGCAUAUGUCGAGUGUGCGUCCAUAGCAAAAUGGUGCAAUGGAUGUUGUGAUGUUCAAUAACGAGUUGUGGAUGUAUUCUAAUAGUUUUUAUGUUGUUUUACACCCACUAAUUAACUCUACUUCAAAAUUUCUUCUUUCUUAUUAAGACGAUGCAAAUCUUGUGACUCUCUUUCCAAAAAUAAUACGAGCUGAUAUUUUUUAUUGCAAAAAGCAAUACUAUUAUUUAAUCAUCGCCAUGUCAACCAACACAAAUCUAUAUUUGUAUCGCGCCCGUGCAAAGUUAUGCUUGUGAGACCCGGCUUAAUCUUGCUUGCCACACCUGAUAAUUGGAAAUUGUUACGGAUGCGUAAUAGAUGCGACCUUUGUGGAGUCGGUUCUGGUUUCGUAACUCGAACCAACCCUUGUCGGCGUUGCUAUAUAUUGAGCCGACUCCAUCCCUUGAAACUUAUCAUACCAAACCAAGUUAAGGUUUUGCCUCCUCUUGCUGUUGUGCCGCCAUCAUAGUCUAAUUUAUCCCGAGCGUUAGUGUGCACCGACGAAUGGGAUAGCAAGUCUCCGGAACUUGUCACCUUCAUGACCUUGUACGGGGAAAGCGCUCAGCGUGACUUCAAGCUUCCUUCAUCACGGGUCGUCUACCACCUCGGGCGGGCGGGCGGUUGCCUGACUCACUCCUGUCUUCAACGCCAUCUGUUUUGAGUGACAAGAGCCAACACCGCAGCAAUCACGUUUACCUCCUCUACAAGCUAAUAGUACGUGAAUUGUGUUCUAAUCUACUUCUUAGUCAUGUUCUACGAGUACAUGCUACUGUUCGUCAUGUUGUAUAAUGCAUCCAGUUGAGUUAUAUUCUUAAAUUAAUUAUAAAUUUGUUAAUCACGAAAUUGCUUAAUAUUCCAGCAAGGUGUACCACGAGGAGGAAAAGUAGUAAUAGACUGUUCAACAAAUUUUCACUUUCACUUAAUUAAGUUAUCAAAUAACCUUUUGACCAGCAUAUCUAGGAAAAACUUUUUUUUUGAGAGAUAAACAUAAGCUUUCAGAAGUGUUUGGGUCAAAAUUAACCCUGAGAUUAUUGCCAAGAGCAUUUUACUUUAACUAGACCCAAAAUUGUCAAGUCGAAUGAGCAGUACCCAUUUUGAAACAAUCAAGCUACGAUGCUAUAAUAAACUUUUUACCCACAGGCUUGGUCAAAAAAAAAAAACUUUUUACCCACAGGAAUGCUCGCUCCAAGCCUGUAACUGAGGCAGGAGAAGAUACGCCCCAGCAUAAAUAUUCAAGAGCUCAACAACAUUUUGCUUGCCUUUUGCGGGUAAUAUGGUAUAAAAUGUGGGUACUGACUACUGAGAUCUACCAUCAAGCCAGGGCCAGACAUCAUUCCAAAAUCUUACCUCCGUUCUACGUUUAUCUUGAAAAGAAACAGACUGGAAGAAGUGGAGGCUUCUAGUCAAAAAAGAUGCGAAAAAGAGAGCCCCCAAUUUAGCUUUGCUUUGUGUGACAAUGAUGCACCCCUCGCAAACUUAUUUCUGAGAAGAUCCUGCUAUACACCUUUCUAACUAAAAGGCACUUGCUCAACAAAUACUAGUUUUUCAACUCCAAAUCGUGUACACGUUUGUAACAUCUCAAAUUUUCAAAACCCUUCAUAUACAUUGCAUUUCAUAAGCAUCAUGCCACCCUUGCAUUUAAUCACAUUCAAAACCCUAAAGUUUAACCCAGAAACACCUUUAACAAAAGUGGUUUUAUUUGAAUCUGGCUCUUUUCUUGCUUUUGGUUAAUAGCAUUUUGACCCAUGAGGGUUUUGGCAUAAAAAGGGGUUUAAUGCAUUUAUAAAGCUACCCCAUAUCUUGACUUGUGAAUUGGAUUUGAAUUCCUAAUUAUUUUAAUAGCUAGAAAGCCCUAAAGGCUAAAUUAUAGGCAAAAGUAUUUUUAAAUAUUUUAUUUUGAGGGAGUUCUUGUCCCAAAAGUUGAAUCAUAUGAAGAUAUGAUAUUACAAUUUUUGUUGCAAUUUAUUUGGUGUGAUUUGGAGUCUUGAAUCAAAAGUUGUGUUCAAAAACAGAAAAUGGAAAAAGAAAAAGAAAAAAAAAAGAGAAACGGCCGGCCCGGCCAAAUGGGCCGAACCGGCCCACUUGCCUCCGCGUCCGACCGAGCCAACCAACCGACCGAGCCCGAGCGGUGCCGCUGCCAGGUGGGCCCCACUGUCAGCCGUCGUCUUCCUCCAACUGCCGCCCGAGUCUCCCGGUCGCGCACGAGUCCGCGCCCACGACGCCUCCACCUCCGAUUUCUCCGCGCACAAGACCCCAUCUUCGAUUCUGAGCGCGUCACAUCGAAGCCCACGACCCCCUCUCUCUUUUCCCCCUCCACUCUCGCUCGAUUUCGCCUCGAAACCACCCCAAUUGCUCGCCGUUUUUCGCCACUGCCGCCGCCUUCUCAAGCUCGCUGCCGGCGAACCAAGAGGUUCGAGACGCCGCUGCCUACUCCUUUCUCCUCCUCUCUCUCUGGCGCUUCUUUUGACACGUUUAUUUUCGUUUUUGGAGCGCUGCAGCCCGUCGCCCCAAACCGCCCGAGCUCCACCGCCGGCCCCCCGUUUCCGUCGCCCUAGACGUCACCGCCGACGCCCCCGAGCUUCGCCGCCGUCAUCUUCGUCUCCGUCUCGCCGAGCCACGCAACGCCGUCGUCUUUCCGAGCCAGCAGGCUCGCCGGACCGCCCGCGCCGCCGCUUCCCGAGUCGCCGCCGGCGUCAAUCUCGCCGGAGGAGAAGCCCUAGCCGCCGGUAAGCCCCCAACCCCAUCUCAUCCGUUGGAUCUAGAUUAGACGGUUAGGAUUAGACCACUUUACCGAACCGGUACCGGAAAAUAGGAUAGCGCCACAUGUCGCCCUUUUAAAAUUAAAACUUAAUUCUCGGCCGAAUUAAUUGGUAAUUUGCAAAAAAGCCCCUAGAACUUCAAACCAUCAUAUCUUUUAAACCGUUUGACCAAAUUUGAAGUUCUAUACCUUUCUGGAAUCCUCACAACAUGUAAAAUAUUUUGGCAUAGUUUAAUUUUGAAUUUGAACAACUUUGACAGAAGCAAAUUGCAGAAUCCUUAAUUAUGGUUUAAAAUUCAUAUGAAUUAUUUCAAACUAGUUUUCAACUUGUUAGCAUGUUGAAAAAUGUUUUGAGUAUACUCUCUGUCCAUUAGGACCAGAGGGGAAAUUAUUUUGUAAAUAAUAUUGCCACACAAAUUUAAUCUUGCUCCAUGCUUUACAAAAGUCAAUUAAGCUUUUAAUUAAAGCUCAUCUUUGUUUCAUACAAAGUAAUUACCUCUUUAUUGUAUAAUCUGUCCAAAUAUUUUGUGAAGCUCUUUAAAAGAGAAACUAAACAUGUUGCAUUUAGAACCAACCUAAGAGUGCAUCAUCAUGACAACUGCAUCAUAGCAUGUUUUUGUAUUGAAUAGCAUGUUUAUUGUGUGUGUUUUCUUUUAUUUUAGAUUGUGUGGAUUGUGAAGUUUGGUGUUGCGAAAAGUGCGAGAACUAUCACAACCUUGGAUAAGGCAAGUUCACUUUGAUCAUUUUCUAAAUAUUUUUACUAUGCACUAGUUAUUUUAUCAGUUGCAUUAGGAAUAUUACAUGUACCUCUAUGCUAGCUAUAAAUCCCAGGUAGUGUAGUUUACCCUUGCCAUUACCUUGCUACCAAAUUGCCAUCGAUUGUAGUUGAAUGGUAGGCUAUGGUAGUAUCGUGGGAGAAAUUACUACAUUAUGAUAUUGUUAUGCCUAUGGAGAAAUGAAAUGCUUAUUAGAGUAAGGCAAAACAAUUAAUUCAAUGAACCAUCCGGGGUGGGCGGCUUUGAGAAUUUUGAGGUUAUGCGACGUCAGGUCCAUUUCUAUGAGUCGUCUCUCCAUGUCUAUGGGAGCGCCUGCGUCGCAAAUGUGGAAUGCCACCUGGGGUAACCGAAACUGAACUAGUUUCCUAUUUGGUAGCUUUCAGUAGAACCACAAUGCUAAAUGGGCUCUGGCGAGAACAGAGUAUGUUGUAUGAAUCUAGACCCGAGGAAUUGUACUAAGGUAGCCUGUGUAGGGGGAGCGUGAUUCUCUCGUGAUUUAGAGAAUUACCUCUGAAAAUCUCGUAAUCGACGCUGUUGCUACUCUACCCUGAGGAUAGAAAGGGAUUAACACGUCGGUUUCUUGUGGGGAAUGUGUACAAACUCUCGAGAGCGUCAAAACUAAGUACUUAGCCGUGUCCCCGGUUAUGAACAAUUAUGAGCAACUGGAUGUAGAGUUGUAAGGAAAGUCUCACUCAUUCUAAUUUCUUAAUAAAAUGAAUGGUUUGAACUUGGGUCUAGGAGCAUUGAUGUGUCUACUUAAUGUCCUUAGUUUAAUAGGAGCAUGGGUGUGUCUACCCCAUGUCAAGUAGUGAUAAAAUUUAUUUGAUUAAAAGAUAGGACAAAACAAUUAAGUUUUUAUGCAAAUAGCCUUGAACCCCACUUUGUCACAUUAUGCAUAUACUUGGUAGGUUCUGAUAUAACUCCUAGUGAUCUUACCAGUACAUUCAAUGUAUUGACCCUAGUGGUUGCAUCGUUUAAUGAUGCAGGAAGCUCCGACGAAGAGUAAAAGUACGUUCUACUUGUUUGGGUUAUGUGCCUAUAUUCUAACACGCUCUCACCGUGGUGUUGAUGUAGCCCUUUUAUCUUCCGUUUUCCGCUGUUAAACAAUUGUUUUAUUUCCAGCUAACCCAUGGGAUCAUGCGAGUUUGUAAGUACUUUUAAAUUCUGGAUGAUGCGUUGUAAUACUUGAGAUUUUUGUUCUAUGAUAUUACAUCUCGAAAUUAUGUGUGCUAGUGAGUCGAUUCAGCGACUAGUACUAAAAGCACAGAGAUCGAACCCGUGUACGGGGACGGUCGCUUCAACAUUUUUCACAAUCUAUCGCAUCUCCAUAUUAUAUUUAGUUGUGCUACUAUGUUAUUUUUAGAUGAUAAUUACAUCCAUGAACUUUUCUAUAUCAUAUAAAAAUAGCGAACUCAACCAGACUAGAAACAUCUUAUGUUUAGUACGAGAGAUAGUAAUACUUAUUACUUCUUCCGUUCUGAAAUAAGUGACGUGAAUUUGUUGCAUGGACAAAUGUUCAAAAAGAGGAAGGAGAUACAGAUAACAAUGCAUCCGCAUGUCUCUCCCAAUAUGCUUGCUUGAUCAAUUUAAAACUGGACAAUUCAAUAGUGAGCUGGAUGUGUUUUCAUCGGAGCAGAGGGGGAACCAUGGUGCAAAAGCUAAUUAAGCUAGCAGCGCUCUCAGGCGGCGAUGAGGGCAGCAGGGUCCACUGGCUUUGGGUUGGGCCCCCUUUUCCUUCCACCUCUCUUCUUUUGAUCUUCCUUCUCUCUCUCUUUCCUUUUUUUCAUUGGGUUUUGCAAUUUGCAUAAGCAUGCUUGCUCUUGCUCCCAUACUACUGCUACAACUACACUGUUAUUCUUCUUCUGCUGCUGCUGAGCCGCUUGGUCCUCUCCUAGUCCUCAUCUACAAUGAGGGGAAUGGAACGAAUGGAAUUAGGCUCUGGUGGAUUUGUGGGUCUCCGUGGUCCUCCUCCAUGUCGUUGCUUUCACUGCUUCCUAGGACCUCUACAAUACUACAAGGAACUUGUUUUUACAUGGGGAAAAAAGGCUUCUUCGAAGUUUGUUUUGCAGCGCUCCAAACAAACCCCAUUCCUUUCUUGCCAACAUUUCACUUUUUGUGGCUCGUAGCGGCAAGGCGUGUCGGGUUCCAGGGACAUGAACAGUAGUCGAGCAGUUUUGUGCUUACAAGCCUUCCUAGCCAACUAGAAGCAUAGCGAGGAUACACCGGUUAGAACAGAUUCUGAAAACUUGUUCCAGCAUUGGCAGGUGCAGCUGGUAAACGAGAGCGUUUCCUAAAAUUCCCUCGGCCGUGCAUCCGAGUGGCCGGGAUCAUGCAGAUCUUUGCUUGUACAGACUGAUGUGCCUCUUCUCCAGCAGCCAUGCAGGUACACGCGUGAACAGACAAGCUUGGGUCCCGUUUCAGUCUGUCAGCAGAGUUCAGGCCUGCAGCGUAUCAAGCAAAUCGAUCGAUUCCCGUUUCUGCCAUGUACAUGUAGCUGUGCCGCACCGUGCAUGAAAAGCCAUAGCUUUACUUCUACUACUAGGAUCUGCAUUGUUUACUUUUUACCUUUUGAUAAUGCCUUCCUAGAUGUGGCUGUGUUUAGUAGUGAUCUCCGACUCGUCUACUCCAGUAAUCAUGCUCCUGUUGCUCUGCAGCUGCAAACCAUUUUUCAAAGCUCUUUGAGCAGCUCAUGUGGGGCCAAGCCGUAUCUCAUUGUCCAGGAUUUUGAGAGCAUUUUUCUAUCUUUUUUUUUGUAUACAUUUCUUCUUUAGUUACUACGGUAUUGUGCUAUCGCGGCCGGUGUCGUUGAGGCUUGUGUGGAUUCAGAGUAAAGGAACAGGGGCGUAAUUAGUUAAGCUGGGUUUAAUUAUGUGCAUGGGCAUGGCUGCCGCUUUCAACCGUGCAAUCAGUAAUCUAUGUGCACAAUCUCAUACUUGACAUGCGGGCAUGUGGUGGUAAUGAUGCACUCACACCCGAUAAACAAGGGGAGCCAGCCAUCCAUGUACUGAUUAUAUGUACUAGUACUGUACCUGCAUUGCAAGUGAUUAAUUAAGGCUUGCGGAAACCUUCGGCUGGGCAGCUCGCGCCGAUCGUAGAGAAGAUUGAGAAACGGCUCCAAACGUGGUCUGCGCCCAUGUUCUCCUCGGGUGGGCGGCUAACGCUUGUUCGGUACACACUUUGUGCCAUGCCGAUCUAUGCGAUGAUAUCGCUUGAUCUUCCGGUGAAGACUGUUUCAGCUAUUGAGAAACUUUGCCGAGGAUUUUUGUGGAAGGGGAGGAAGGAGGUCCGCGGUGGUAAUUGUCUUGUCUCGUGGCAAGCGGUCUGCUCGCCAAGGGAGCUCGGGGGCUUGGGUAUCCCCAACCUCAAGGUGCUCAAUGUGGCUUUGCAGGCUAGAUGGAGCUGGCUUCAACAAAUGGAUCCAUCAAGGCCGUGGGCGGAGUUUGAUAUUCAGAUUCCCCCUGCCUCCCGCGAGUUGUGUAAGGCGGCUACCUCCAUCAUUGUGGGGAACGGCCGGCGUGUGAGAUUCUGGACAGAUGCUUGGCUUGAUGGUGUGGCUCUGUGUGACCUAGCGCAAAUCUUUUCAUGAGGGUCGCUGGACAGGGCCGGAAAAUCUUUGUUGCGGAGGCCUUGGUUGACCGGGCUUGUGUCAAGGGGAUCAAGCCGGAUCUGUCUUCCUUGGCCAUCGACGAGUUCUUGCUCAUUUGGGACGUCGUUGAAGGUUGGGUCCUUUUGGAUGAGGAGGAUGUGCUUCGUUGGAAGUGGGAAGGGAGUGGCUCGUAUUCAACGUCAUCGUCGUAUGCGGCCCUUUUUGGGGAGCGUACAUGCAUGCCAGGAGCUGCUGAGGUGUGGGGCUCUAGGGCUCCGAGUAGAUGCAAAUUCUUUCUUUGGCUUGCACUGAAGGAGCGUUGUUGGACGGCGGACCGCCUUCGUCGACGUGCGAUGCCUCACCCUCCUCGCUGCCCUUUGUAUGACCAGGAUGAGGAGAGCAUCAAUCACUUACUCUUGGGAUGUAUGGUCGCCCGGCAGGUGUGGCUCGCUGUCCUUGGGCGUUGGCAGAAGCAGGAUUGGGUUCCUAGUGUGCUUGACCAUUUGGAGACUUGGUGGCCGGGUCCGAAGGUUGUGGCUAGGAAGGAUCGGAGGAACCUACAUACUGCCGUUAGCCUUGUUUGCUGGUGUAUUUGGAAGCACAGGAACGUGGUGGUCUUCGAUGGGGUGACGCCAAGUGCUACUCACAUUAUUAGGGAGAUUGGUCGUGAGGGGGAUGCAUGGCGACGCGUGGGACUGUUUGAUGGUUCCCUUCUCUUUUCCGAUUUUGGUCUAGUGGACGUGAUGUGGAUCUUGCGUGAGUAAUUGUAAUUGUAUUUUGAACUUGCCGCGUCACGGUCUUCUUCUUUAAUGCAUGAUAUAUCCGCCGAGGUAUAUUCUAGAAUUUUUUUUUAAGGAACUACAGUUAAACACUUAAAUGGAUGGUAAUGUGCCUCUCUCUUUCCAUAAAAAAAAUUGUGCCCCUCUCUCUCUCCCCCCCUCUUUAGGCGAGACCUCAUGUACCCUUGAUAAACCUAAACCGUUGUAUAUAUGCCUCACAUCCACAGGUUGAUAUCAAUUGUUUCAUACUUUUCGCCAUAGUUCGCAUGUAAGAAAACAAUAGCUCUGCCAUGAAAGAGGGAAUUUUAGAUUCACCCUUCAGAAUUUUCAUAAAUGUUCAAAUAUCACUUGAAAUUUCAAGGUUCCAAAUCUAACACGUGCAUGCUUACAAAUUUAUCACUAUCGUCAGCUGAACAUUUGUUGACGUCAAGUCUACUAAAAGAUGAUUUUACCCCUAGCUAUAUAUAUGUGUUGAUUUUCCCUUUAUGACUAAUCAUUUCAGAAAAAAAAUCACUCCAAAAUUUCGACAUGAAAGUAACACAAGCUCAGAACAAAUUUCAAUAAAAAGAUAGCAAAAAACAAAAUAAUGUUAUUCCAAUUUUCUUGAAAAUUCAGCAACAUAUUUCAUAUUUAGUGUGAGAGAUGGCGAGCGAAUGAGGGACGAGUACGGCUCUGACGUAGGGUUGUCACUGAGAGGUAUCUUUUUCCUUCCGAUAAACAAAGGGUAUAUAUGGGUUAAUACUCAAAAAUCCUGGCCAUGUUUCAGGUCUUGUACACGGUCAAUGAUUGAUGUGCUGCCCGUAAUGGUUAAUUGGUACGCAGUGCAAAAAUUAACGGUAAAUCUGAAAGCCGAAAAAUCCAUAUGUAUAAUCUCGCGUCUCCGUAUGCUACAAUAAGCACAGAAUACGGAUCGAGUUGAUGGCAACGCGGAUAAUCUACCAAAAAGAAACUAGAAGUUCUCUCUUAAUUUAUGAAAAACAAUUUUUUUUUCUGAUAAUUCCAACCUCAUACUCCCGCUAAAAUCUGGACCUUAAGUUUUUUUUUUGGGUCUGGACCCUUAAGUUGUCUAUCCAUCCCCGACUCGGGCACGUCUAUUUCUCAGUCGCUUAUGAAAUAGUUAUUUCCCGUUCGACAAUCGUAACAAUCCAAUGAAGAUUUUUUUAUGCAUCAAACCUACAUUAAUCUUACACGAAUCUUAAUGAUUGAAUCAGAAGGUUGUAAUCAUCGACUAAGAAAUACUCACUCCGUUACAUAAUUCUUGUCGAAAUAUUACAUGUAUCCGACACUUUUUAGGAAUAGAUACAUCCAUAUUUAGGCAAAUUUGAGACAAGAAUUAUGGAAUGGAGGGAAUAGUUAUUUCUCAGUCUCUUAAGAAAUAGCAAAACAGAUUGUUAAAAUAUCUUAUAUGUACAAGUACCACACAAAGAUCGUAACCUUGAGUGGUACUCAGAACCGAGUUUAGUUAGUCCUUCUAAGAGCAUCUUCAACAGUAGCCCUUAUAUCAAGGCCCCUAAAUGUUGUUUAGGGGCUUUCCUCUAAAUUUUUUAGCCCUCGUUUCAAUUCCAUCUUCAGCGGGAGCCCUUAUAUUCCAGCCUCUAUUCUAUUUUUCCAUUACACUGACAUAUGGGUCCCUCCUGUGAGUGACAGGACACACCUUUCUUCUUUCUAUUGUCUUCCUCCCCGAGCCCUUCUUCCCCAUGGAGGCCGGCGGCCAAAAGGAGGUGGCAGACGCGAAGACCUCGGGCGUCGGCGGGCCGUCCAUGGGCGGCAGGUCGGUCGGCGAGGAGGCGGCGGCGUGGUGGCCGGCGGCGAGGGGGCGCGGUGGCGGUGGAGAGACAAAGGGAGAGGAGUGAGGAGAUUGCUGACGUGUCAUGUGCGGGAAGGGAAUAGGGGCCUCCCUGGGGAGCCCUGAAAAUGGGGGUUUGGGAGGUGUUUACAGGGGCCUCCCUAGAACAAUAGGGGCUCUAGUAGGACUUUACUGAAGAGCUUUUUUUUUUUGCUUCACGCCCUUAAAACGGGACAGGGGCUCUGUUUAGAGUCCUGCUGAAAAUGCUCUACGAUAGUGCUAAGCUCAAACAUGUAGGCUAGAUUGAUCCAUGUCGAGUUUUUUUUUUUUUUUUUUUGGCGGUGUUAUAAUAGCUCGAGCUUUUUGAGAGCCCCAAUCUUGAGAGAUCACCUGUGCUUGUCUUUUCAGAAAAUUUGACCGACUUAUCGAUCAAAUGAUGUAACAUGAAAUGCUUUUCCUGUCACGAAGAGGGCAUUAAAAUUUAAAACUAUAUUUAUUUUAACAAAUCGCCUAGGAUAUCCUACUUUUCACUUCAAAUUGACCCCCCCUUUUCCAGUUAUUCUUCCCUCGAAAAGAAGGGGAUGGCCGGUAAUUUGUGUGAUAUACAAUCGAUUGCGUCAUCAAUGUGCUAGGUAAGCAUGCUUGGCUAAAGAGACCAAAUGAUGGAGCAGACGUACACAGAUCGAAUCGACCCUUGGCCAUAUGUACUGUUGGAUCGUGGGGAAAACUAAAAGAAGUUUUUGGCUGUUGGUGAAACAUCCCGUCGACAAAGGAAUUACAUCCAUCUUUUACGUCCUCGAGAUUCAUUGACCUCGAUCUGGUCAGUAACAGACAGUACAACCGGUCGACGGUCGAGAAUAGAUAGAGAUAGAUGGAGUGAGAUCCGAUCAGCGGCUUUAGCUUUCUCCAGGGCAUGCAGCAGCGUCUGAUCCUGUCUUGAUCUCUUUUUUCACAAGUUUCAACAAGUCUCACUACUGUUGGAGUCGCCGAGCGAUCGAUUGGGGUGGCUUUUAGAACUCGGAAGGGCGGACCAGUACAUGGUCGAUCGAUUGGUCCGGCUGUACUACGUCUGAACCUCAACGUUCUUUGGGAACAUUUCUGACCAAAGGAUCGAUUAGCUGCAAGUCUCACAUGUUUGUGAUCGUGUGAUAUGAUGCGCCCAUGCAACCUGCGACCACCUCAUACAUUCCAAUUUUGAUUUCCAAACUCUAGCUAAGCAUUCCAAUUUUGAUUUCCAAAUUAAGAUUCAUCAAAUUAUCCGUCCAUCGUCCUCGAAGAAGACAGACAUCACUACACCCCCAUUAAAUCAUUAAUACACACCUACUUAAUUAUCAUGAUUUACAUGGCAUGAUCCUCCUGUAAAGCUAGCAGCUAGCUAAGUAUAGUAACUAAGAGUAAUGGCAGGCACGCAGAUGCAUGGAUUAGCUAGCACUACUUAAUUGGUUUUGGGUAGGUAAAGCAGACAACAAUUAGAAUGUUUUUGUGGGGCAGCAAUCUGGUCCCUCGGGUGCCAAACAUGGAAUCAUCUUCUGGACAUAGAUGGAGGCUUAGGUGUAUAGCCAGGCAGGCAUGGAGAUGUAAUUGUUGAUUGGCUAGGCAAAAUGAGAGGAUGAGGAAGGAGCCAGCAGCAUCUGCCGGUCGGACAAACCUGCCCUUUCCCCCUCCAAAGAUGCUAUUCACGUCCUGGCUGGCCCUCGCAACUCAUUAAAAACAUCUUAUUCAACUAUGUCUUCAUCCCACAAUACUUUCGUUUUUGGGGAAUAACCGUCAUCACACAGUACAAUAUAGUACUCAUUAAUUUCUGAUUUUAUUUCAUAAAAUACACGACAUAAAGGGAUGUAACCUAUCUAUAAACACUUGUAAAUAUAUUUUUAGAUAAAAAGGCUCGCUAGAACACUUGUAAAUACUCCAUGUGUGUUUCCUAAAAAAAAGAAUGACUGAUAGACCGCCGUAGAGCUAGUGAUGGGGAAGACGGUGCGUCCGAUUUCCUUAAGCUCAACCAUAGAUUUACACUCUUUUUUCCAGAAUAGUAAGCUGUAAAACCUCAACUCCGGCUAUCUUUGAGUGUCUUUAUGUGUACACAUGCUUAUUUGUGAGCGAAGUUGAUCUAUAAAGACGACAACUUUUGAACUUUUGAACUUUUGCACACCACACCACACGGGUAUGGGCAGGAGGAUUGACGGGUAGUAAGAAUUGUGUAACCUGAUCGUCAUCCAUCCUCCCAACAACACAAUUCCUUACACAUCCUCACAGGUUACACAAUUCCUCUCAAGUCUCAACAACACAACCAUUCAUUGUGAUUGUACCGCAAUGCUCAACACCUCUUCAAGUUCUAACUCCCAGAAGCGGCACAAAACAAGUCAUCAUGGUGAAGCAAAAAAAAAAAAAAAGACAGGUAAGACCAACAUCCUGCAGGAUUAAGUCUGAGCUGAUGGCAGAGUAUAGAAAUCCUGAUGCAGAACUGAAGACCAAUGAGGCCAGGAUACAACGUAGUGAGGUCUCUUGCAUAGAUGUAGCCAAUCCCUACUGAUCUGGACGACUCACCAGUUGAUCCUCAUCCGCACUCAGCUUCUCUGCAGCAGAAAGCAGCAGGUCCACAGCUGCGAAAUUCCUGUCUGGCAGCCGAGCGUCGUCCUUACGGUGGAGUUUCAGCAUCUUCUUCUCAUACUGUCUCAUCCCCGCCUUCGCUCUCUCCACGCUACAUGAUGAGCAAUACCACUUGCCCUUUGGCACCGAAGUACGGCGAGGUGUCAUGCAAUAGAGAUGAUAAGCCUCAUCACAGCCAUCGCACAGAAUGGUCUGCUCGUCGUCUCCGUCAGAAAGACACACUCGACAAAGGCACGAUGGACAGUACCAGCACGGUUUGUCUCUCUGCACCUUGCUAGCAAUCUGCUUAGACUUCAGACAGCGAAUGUGGUAGUACUUAUAUGGACAGUGGCUGUGGCCACAUAUGAGGAAUCUCUUGUCAUCGUCUUCAGGAGUUCCACACAUCUUGCAUGAGCCACCGACAACAAUAUUUGGCAGUUCUUCACCCUCGGCAGGCUCUGUGCAAGAAAUCACAAUUGCUCUUGACUCGUCAACAGGUGUCCGUUCGCUGACAGUUUCUUUGCAUUCUGCAGGCCUGCAAACUUCAAGUCCUUUGCAAGCGACACAAUUUCCAUGCAAGAGAUUUGGUUCAUACUGCACUAUGCUCAUGCCACCUUCAGCUGACUCAUCCCAGGUGGUACUGCUGCAGCUUUUGCAAUGCCAGCUUCCAGUCGGCACAGGAGGCUCAAUGCAUGAAAUGUGACACACUAGCUUGCAUCUAUUACAUGUGAUGGUGUUGACCCCUCCCGCCUCUUUACCACAUUGGUCACAAGCAGUGCCCAUUUGUACAUCAGAAACAUCUAUUGGGUCUGGUUGGUCCAACUGCUGAAACCCCUGUGAGGUUGAGGGUACCAGUGUACUUGAUUCCAUCAAGUUCUUGGGUUCAGAGCUGGCCACCGCAGCUCCCUGCAAUAGAGGUAGCAUACUGUUGAGAAAGGAUAGUAAGCACAUUAUGGAAACUGGAAAUCUAGCAAAGAAUAAUCACCUUGAGUUCCUUCUCACUAUCACAUGAUCCUCUCUCUCUUCCAACCUAAACAACGUAAUACCAGGUUUCAAUGCAAAGGUGUAUAUCAGUAUGAGAACAAAUGUAUCCAACACUCAAGAUACUCAUAUCCUUUGAUCUAAAAUAUACUCAUAUCCUAAAUGAAACACAGAAAACUAUAGAGCAUUCAAAAUAGUAAAAACUGGAAAAAACAGAACUAAAAUCCAGCAACCAAAAACUUGCCUUCUUUGUGUACGAUGCUUCUGUGAGGCUUGAAAGGCCAUUUGCUAGGUCAACAAUAUCUUGACCAGCCAGUUUAACAUCUUCCCAUAACUGAAAAAAUACCUUAAUUAUUAAUUACUAUCACCACUACAAAAAGAAUGUUUAAAAAUAUAUGCCUUGCAAAAAAUAAUAUGUAUUCUCAACUUAGAAAGCACAGACAAAUACACAGUGCUUACGGAGACUGUGAAGGAACUAACAGCAUAAAUGAAGAGCUGGGUUUUAGUACAACAGCUUGGUAUGAACUUGUAAGUCUCCAAACUGGUAGGUAGUAGUAAGAUAGUUCAUCCAGUGUUCAUGUUAGUACGAACUGGAUAUAGCACGUUUGGUCCAGCCAGUGCUUCAAAUCUUUUUGAGGGAUUAAAACAUAUGAUUUGCAUUAUGAUCAUGAUCAUCUAACUGUUAUAAUUUGUAGUGAUGACCAGGGAAAAUAAGCACGAUACUGUUUUGUCAUUGAAUGGUGGUGCACACGAAAAAUACACUGAGCAAUGUUAGACAUGCAUAUAUUGGUUCCGUAAUUAUUUUCUGCAUAUAAGCCACAAUGAGUAUAAGUGUUAUUUAUAACAUGGGAUCAGAGCGAACCUAGGAUAUCUCUCUCUAUAGCCUCAUAAUGAAUAUGAGUGCUAUGUGACUGGCGUUGACCAGUGAAUUUCACUGAACAAACUUGUAAUGCGCUACACAGAUGGAACUUUCACUAAAAUACCUAGAAAUACGCUAAUGGGAUUUUAAAUUUUUGCACAUGUCAAAGUUUUCAGUGCAAUACAAGUAAAUUUUCUAACGCGAAACACAAUACUAAAGUAAAUAUUGAAGAGCUGAAAAUUUGUGAGGUUAUUACCAAUUUUAAAUCAUCUUUGAAUAAUCCAGGUGCACGCCCAUAAUCUCCAUUUUUCAUCCUAGAGUCAAUCAUGCCAAAAUCAAAAUAGCUAGUCCUUUCCUCAUCUUGAUGCACAGCUUUGCGAAGCACGUUACACAGCAAGGCAAAAAUUUCUGAUCUUAAAAUGUCGACAAGAACAUUCUUGCACUCAGCAAUAUUCACAUUGCUUGACACUGUUAUAUCAGAAUGCAUCUCCACUUUGUCCCCAACCUGAUAUAAUCAAGAAAAAGAUUGUUAGGAUCUUUUAAGACAAUGAUGUAUCCCCUAAAUAGAUUACUGAAGCCACAGUUUUCCAUGAUUCAAGGAAUUAAACCACAUGGUAUGUGUGGGUACAACUUUAAAUUUGGUGAUAUGAAUUGGUUACAAGGUUUACUUUAGAAAAAAAGCUAAAUCUAAAAUGAAAUGAUUCAAGGAAUUAAGGGAAAAGAAUUGGAACUGUCGAUUAAUAUCAAAUGUUCCAUCCGAUGAGCAUUGCUUUAAAGGGUUCAAACUUGACAAGUUUGAAGCCAAGCAAUACAAUAGGUCGCUGAUUAAAGAGUAUAACAACGAAACAUGAUAUUCUAUGGUUUUCAGUUUUCCCACUUACUGUUCCGGAUUCAGCACAACCAUAAAGGACAUCACGGAUGCAACUCUGAAUGCCAUCACCCUCUUGUACGCCUGGCAAAAGCAUCAGUCCAUUCAAAACAUACUUCCAGUGAGUCCAGCAGUCACUUCUUCCAGUUUGCUUCUCAGACUUGUUAGUGCUACUACAUAAUGUUUUAUGAGGCCGCUCCAUCUCCAUGAUUGACUACAUGGUAAACCAUUACAAUUAGUACCUACCAUAUUAAACCAGAAUAAAUAUUGAAAAAAGAUAAAAUUGUAACAUUACUCCUUUUACAAUGGAAGUAAGCCUUUUACCGAAAAGGCAGUAUUUGUUUGUCAGUCAGCAGGUUAUGUAAAGUUUUGACUCUCCAAUAGUAUCCAAAUUUCUAGCUUAACGAUGUAUAGCCAAAUGGUCUAGCUAAAGCUGAUAAUAAGUUCUAGCACAAAGAGUCACUGCUACACCGAUCAUGGUGCUACAAUUUGAAACUAGUGAAGAUGCACAUUUAUGCAAGCCCUAGACUUCUAAAGAGGCACAAAUAUCUUUAUUGCCUCCAUCAGGCAUACAUAUCUAUAAAAACUGUGGGUCCACUAAUCUAUUCCCAGCACUAACGUCUAAAUUCCAAACGUCUAAAUUCCAACACAGUAAAGAACAGCAGCAAAGGACACACCUGAGGAUCGGGCAUAGUAUUGGAUAACGUGCUGCAUCCAUUUGAUGCUCUGUUAGCUUCACCAAAAGCUUGGGAAGAACUCCUAGACUGUAUUGCUAUAGCGGAAUCCUCUUGAUCAGGUUGUAAAUCCUUAGAAGAGCAAAGCAUGUCACAACUGUCAAUACCGUCAUGUGGACCUGAUCUUUUCCCUUUCUUCUUCUCCCUUGAUAUCAUUUGAUCCCUUAUCCUUUUGGCGGAAUCUUCCGGAAUAUUACGGCAUUGAGGACGAUUUUUCCAGCCAACAAGAUGCCACUUUAAUCUAGUUAUGCCAUGAUAACCCUCUAAGCUGCACCACUUGCACUUCCAGUGUCCUUUUUCUCUGUCAUGAAUCAGUGAAUGUUCCCAUGCAUUAUCCCUCAGCCUUGUCGGGUAAUUGGAAUGCACCUACAAAUUAAUACAUCAAAUCUCAUAAAUACAAAUUAAAUCAUGGAAUGCAUGUGAAAUUGUGCCUUGACUAACAUCAGAUGAGAACUGCAAAGAGAACACUACUACUAUGAUGAAAGAGCUGUGAAAAAUUAACCAUUCCAAAAGUACAAUAAUAUAUCAUUUCAAUAAAGAAAAUAAAUGAAGUUGAGGAGAAAGUUGAACACGUGACACUUAAAAAUAAACUAGGAUUGACUUUGGAGCAGUUUUCUCUACUGAUGUUUGGAAAAGGUCAGAUGCAUUAACCAUAAGUAGUAAAGUUAUUUGCAAUGAGGCAAGGGAACAAGACAUUUUUUUGAUAAACAUGCGUAUGUUAAACAAUGAACAGAUGAGCAAUUGAGCAUGCAGCCUAGAAGGGAAAAGGACCAGAAUCUUGCAUGCAACAGUUCAACACUGAGGUUCAGUUUCUUAACAAGAUGCCAGAGAAAAGAGUUUUUUUGUUAUUAGUUAGUAGACAAACACUCCAGAAAUAACAGUAUGGCUAAAAAGAGAUUUGAAAAUAUGGACGUAUUCUUUACUACCAGGAGACGUUAAUAAAUUUGCAUUUUCAAAAAUCUCCUUAGCAUGUCUUAUUUCGAUUAUCCCAUGUCAUGAGUCAUGACUGAAGCAGUAGUUGCAAAUAUAAUUAAUGAAUUUAUAAAUAGCCACUAUUAACACAAAACUGUCAGCACAAACUAUAAAUCAUAGCCAGCACCAGAAAAUUUUCACAUCUCCAUCUUCCUCAUAAGGGCAUCAAGACCAUUAGCCCUUUGAGCGGUUCUAAUUUCAACCAAACUUGCAUAUAGAGCACAGGAAGCUGCACAGGCAACUUAAAGAACAGAUGAAUAUGGCCUUGGGGAAACAAUAAAACACAGGCAUGCCUUAACCUUGAACAAAUGAAUAUGGCCUUAGGGAAACAAAAAAAGGAGAAUCCAAAUUAAAAAAGAUUACCUCGCUAGAUAAAUCAUGUAUCGGCAGCUGUGGAGGAUUGCCAAAUGCUGGAUUGUUGUUCUGCAGUAUUACACUGGAUUGCCCAAUAAUUUUUGGCUCUGGAGAAGCUUGCUGCCCAGACUUUUUCAUUCUUAGUCUUCUCUUUAUUAGAAUAUGGUGUUUUGCCUUUGCAAAAACUUCCGGAGGAACACUCGGGCACUUAGGAUGACGAAACGCGCCAGCAAGAUGAUAAUGUAGCCUAGAUGUUUUACCAUGUCCAUCCAUGCCACAAUAUCUACACCUCCAAUGCCUCGCGAUUUCAUCAAUAGUAAUUAUAUGCUUCCGAAUGUUGAACCUAGUUUUCCGAGGAUGUUUCAAUAUCUGCAAAUAAGUGUAGAAGCUCAGAACAUAGCAUACCUUUUUACGGCAACAAUAAACAUAGCAUAUUUGCAUCUUCUAUUUAAUAGUAGAAAUUAAAAAGGUGCUAAAACAAAGAAAGGAAGACAAUAUAGAAAAGAUACCUCCUCUUUUUUAUAUGAGGGCCUACAUGGACUACACUAUUUUUGGGUAAUACAAGUACAAGUGUCACGCGCAUUGAUCAAAUUAGGGCUGAAAAUGGAGCGGAAUGUUUCUGCCAGUUCCGCGGAAAUAUGGAAAUCGAUAGGAAAUAUGGAAACAAUUUUUUUCUGACAUAAAUGGAACAGUGUUUUCCGGUGGAACACUAGCAGAAACUGAAUUUUCCGUAUCCGUACAUUCCGAAUUUCUGUUUAUCUGACUAAAUAGCUCAAACUAGUUCGGCCCAACCCAAGCCCAUGCACAUCAACCCCACAGUAAACCUAAAUACCUCUCUCAAUUCCCCUUCAGGGCCCCUAGCGAUCACACAUCGUGCAUGCCUCCAUAUUGCCGCCACACUGUGUCCUCCAAGGAAAUGGAACAGUGUUUUCCGGUGUGAAAGCACUAGUGCUCUUCAUUCGUGGCCCAUCAUUCGCACCCAGACGGAUCCAAGGGGGGGCGCCGGGGGGCUCUGCCCCCGCCCCCCCAAAGAAAUUUCAUUUUAGUUAAUAGUUACUAAUUAGCUCAUUCAAAAUCACUUUAAAAUAGGUGAAGUUUCUAAUUUCGCCCCCCUCAUGUCAAAUUCCUGGCUCCGUCCCUGUUCGCCCCUCUGACGCCCUCCCCCUACCCCUUGACUUCUGUGUUCCUGCAAGCAUUCACUUUCUUAUCCGUGCCCGUUCAGUAUUCGAUAUGUACUUGUUUCCGACAGUAUCUGCUUCCCUAUUUGUUUCCGAUAUUUCCAUAUUCACCUUUGCUUCCGCUAAAAAAUAAAGGCACAAAUGCGAUAGCACCCAGUUCCUUACUUUUUCAGCCAUAGUCAACAUAUGGUCAAAACAUGUAUCAUGAAAAGGUGAAUCUUCUCCUUUAUGUGUGUCCAUCUAAUAUUAUCGAGGAUGGUAUGCUACUUGACACUUCUACCCUUUGUAUUCUUAUUAUUGGCAAGCUAAGUGACAUGGGUGCAACGGAGGAAGUCAUGGAAGCCAAAAAGGAAGAAAUUGAUCGAAGAGAAAAAAAACAAAUAACUCUCGGAAGUCCCAGACCCCAUGUCGGAACCUCCAGGUCUACCCAGCAACGAAGACAGAGUUCCAAUCUGAAACAGUGAUGUCUUACCACAUAUGGUUAGGCUACGUUGAGCUUUGCUCCUUCCCCCAAUAUCAAGGCCGAGCAUCCAAAUGAAGUCAAUUCAAAAAAUAAAUGGCUAGCCCAGACAACUAGAAAUUGCCAUUCCUAUGAUUCGCUGAGGGACCCUUUAAUUUAAAUUUAUUAUGUGGGGCCAUCAAAACAUUCAUAUUUUCCCUUCUGCACUCAAAUAUGCCAAUAUCCAGGUGCAACUAGUUCCUUCAAGGACAAAUUUCAAUAUCUCCAUUGAACUAUGGCUCCAAUCAGCAGGGAUGUUGGAUCGUAAUCAGUUUGUAUGUAUAUAUAAGCAUAGUUUACAAUGAAGUUAAGUAAUCCCUCUGAUCCUAAAUUCUCGACUCAAAUUUGCCCAAAUAUGGAUGUAUCUAUUCUUAUAAAGCAUCUAGAUACAUGUAAUAUUUCGACAACAAUUUAGGAUCGGAGGGAGUAAUUAAUAGGGGUAUGGACAGCUACCCUGGCUGCACUUGAACACAGGGUGUACAAUCCACUGUUGCUCUCUACAUAGCCAAAAAUUAAAUUAAAUAAUACAUAUAAAAGAGCUGCAUGUUGGACAUCCAUCCAUUUUUAAAUGAGUUGUGUGACAUCAUCGCAAGACUGUACUAGAGGGCUCUUAACAAAGACAACAAUGUUUUUUGCAAAUACUAUAAACACCACAAAAAGAACUGCAUGCUGGACAUCCAUCCAUUUUCAAAUGAGUUGUGUGACAUGAUCGGAAGA
rnacentral:lncRNA from 1 species